GAUCCAUGUCUGGAUACACUUGACGAAAUCUCUUUCUCCAUCUCUUGGUGAACAUGUCAAGCUCAUUUGAUCUUGGAACAUAAGAUUUUACACCCAGAACACCUUGCAUUGAUGACUCAAUUACUGAAGGAUCUACCAGGUCCAGAAGACUUGUUAGCACAUCUGUGAUUAUCCAUGCAUAUCCACUGCUCAUCAUCCCGGCUUCUUUGGCCUUGAGGAAAAGGCGGGAGGCAAGAGAUGAUUCUAAGUGUACGAUGAACACCCUGGUCUGCAUUGUAUUCAACUUGUAUAGCUCCCUGAAGAUCUGAUCAUCACUGGCUGAAGGAGAAAUACCACUUCUAUAGGAGACUAAACUGUUGUUUUCCAGCAAGGCAUCUGUCAAAUGUGGAAGCAUCCCGCUUCCAUAGGGGCUAUCCUCAUAGAUUACUACAACGUCCCUCCAAUUAUAGUUUUUAACAAUUGCCGCUAUGGCUUUAGUCUGGCUGGAAGAAGGAAGUGCUCCUCUGAUGAAGAAGGGAUUUUCCUUGACUGAAAGUGAAGGACUAGUUGCUGGAGAAAUGAUAGGGACUUUUACUCGGUUCCCUAAGUCAAUCACAAAAUCAGUUUGUGUAGACAUUUGUGGCCCAACGAUGGCUUGUACUUGAACAUCCUUUAGCAAGUAUAUGGCUGCACAUACACAAUCAGACUAUAAGGAAUUGUCUGAACAGAAAACCAAAGGGAAAAAAGAAGAAAAGAGAAAAAGAUAUGCUAGCUUAACAGAAGUAAAUCAUGGAGCUGAAUUAAUUUACCUGCAGAUGCUGCUUCAACAUCAUCUUUCUUGGAAUCCCUCAAGUGAGGGACUAUCCUAAUAGCUCUGGGACUAGUGGUGGCAUGGUAAUCUUCAAGAGCUAGUAAGAUAGAUAUGUGCAUUACUUUUGCCACAACUGUUUCCAUAUAAGAACUAUACCCACAUCCACCUUUACAACACUAGUUUCAUCUUCACCUCUUAUUGGAAUUACAUAGUGGCAAAAGCUAAUAAUGGAGACAAGUUGAAUGAAGAGAAUUAGGCAGUAGUAUCUUUGAUUUUGCAUUUGAAAAACUCUGGUAGCAAGUAGUUUGAGAGUUGGGAAAGAAGCAAUUCUGCUUGUGCAAGUAAUUAACCACUUUCUAGAGAUGUGUCUAAAAAUCUCUUAACUGUGUGGCUCUAGAUAUAUGGUUUCAGAAUCUGGGAACUUCAUAUACUUGGACCAGUAAAUACCUUGCAAAACUAUAAUAAGGCAAUGUAGAAUGAAAAGUCAAAGAUAAAGUUUCCAAAGAAUAAUUGAGAGAGGACUUUUCAUACAUUCUUAACUAGUAAGUUCCCUCCUCAAUUUGACCCAAUAAAAAUCUGACAAAACGAACGCAGUGACAAAAACUCAUUUGGUUGACCUUGGAAUGGUGCUUAUUUUACAUGGUUCCUGUUUAUACUUGGUCAUUAGUAACUUGCUUGGACACCAAAUAAUGAAACAAUACCCACCAUUGGAUCGAGUGGCCGAUCUAGGAUUUUCAUUCAUGGGGAUUUGUAAAUAAAAAUGUAAAAAGUAUUAACUUCCUUGGACACUCAAUAAUGAAACAACCACCACCAUUGGCUCUAGUGGCAUGCUGAUUCAGGAUUUUCACUCUGAGAGUUCCGAAAAAUAAAAAUGUAAAAGAUAAUGCAGUCCUUGAGAAUUGAACCUUGGACAUUGGGGUGUAUUUUGAAUUUCCUGAAUUGCAGAGCUAACCUUUUGCAUGUUAUUUAGGGGAUUCACAAUUUAUAUGUACAUCAACAUAGAAAAUAUAUCCUAUAUAUACAUUUUAAUUUUUUGUUGAAGGGGUUUGGGUGAACACUCUCCGGCUCUUGAUUGGCUCAUUGACACUGUUAUUGUUAGUGCAAGAAGAAACUGCUAGGGAAGUUGCCUAUGAUAUAUGUUGAAGCAGAUGGGAUAUAAGAUUCUGAUUUGAUGGGUUCAAUAUUUAGGUUCUUACCAUUGAGCCCAUUACACUUUGAAAUUAUGGGUUCAUGUUCUAUUAUUUAUUAAAAUUUUAGUGAUUUUUCACAUUAUACUUUUAUGAUCCGUGUCGAAAAUGCAAAUCUUAUACUUAAAUUCGCCAUCCGCCCUGUGUGACUGAACAUAUUACUGUUUGUCUUCCAUGUAGCAGUGAUCCUAAAACCUUUCCUUAUUUAUGAUCUGUAACUAUGUUCUUAUCCUCUAGGCUAGUUCUAGCACCUGCAUUAUAAAUUCACUACUACUAGAUCUUUCUUUCUUAUUUAAUUUGGGCUUUGCAGAUUGCUUUUUCUUAUCAAAAAAUUGCACAAAUCUCUCAUGUGGUUAUUCACAUAUAACCCCCAUUAUUUCAUAUUUUAUAUAAGAAUUAUGUAAUCAAAAAAUAAUUUGGCAUCUUAUGUGUUGAUUUUAUUGUUUUUGUUCUAUUAUUGUAACAUAACAAAACUACCUCAAUUGAAUUUCUUGAAAACGGAUGCAUGUAUUGAAUUCUUUCAUGCCACACAUAUAACUUCGUUUAAUUAUAUUCCAAACAUAAGUACAACAACAACAACAUAAGUAGUGAUGAAAAAAACAAAGUGAACAUAAAAUUGCUAGAAAAACAACUAAGAAAAAGUAAGGGUUGAAUCCAUCUAAUGGAAUCCUGGAGGCCACCUCUUGAUGCUAAUAUUAUGGCCAAGAGUGACAAAGAAAUAAUGUAAUCUGAUUUAACUAACCCUAAAGCUAGCUCAUCUCUGUACAAUCUCUUGUAGGGCCCUAUUCAGGUGUGUCACAAUUAUGUUAGCAGCUAUCUGUGUCAUCUUUCUUCAAUCGUGCCUGACAUUGUUUCAUGAACUGGGGUUCCAGUUUCUGUUGUAGAGAACCCUUCAGAAGCAGGGGAUUCUCCUAGGCCAUCGGAGAUUCCGAUUUCUGGGCUUUGCAAAGGAAGGUUGGGCGAUAAUUCAAUAGAAGCAUCACUUUCUGCAAACACUGUAGCCGUUAGGCUUUCAUUCCCUUCAGAUGGCUUUUUUGACAUAGAAUUAGAGUCGUCUCUCUUUAAAUCAAAGACUUUUUGCUAUUGCACAAAGCUUUUUUCCUAUUGAAUCAUCAGUGGCUAAGAUUUCUCUAUUCUGAUAAAGGAAGAUGACGAAGAAUACGAGAAGAGCGGAGCCUGCUGAUACACCAGCUAUGAGGAAAAGGCCCUUAAAACUAUCAAGCGUGAGGCUAGAUGCUGUAGCCAUUCCAUCUGGCUUUGGACAAUCUGUUUCGUUCCCAAACCAUUUCUGAAUUAUGUUAUUCAUAGUCUCUCCCUCUAUCACCUUCAAGACUGCUCUUGAGACGUCAGGUACCAAAGGAGAUCCUUUUGGAAAUGCCUGCAACAAGUUGUGGGAAAAUUAAAGAUUAGAUCAUUGAGUAAACCACUAACCACUCUAAAUAAAUGUCAACACUUUCUGAAACAUCAGUUAAGUACAACAAUCUUACAAAUCCAAAGCCGGCAGCCUUGUAUGUCGGACCAACCAUAAUAUACUUCCUGCAGUAUUUGUUCAGCAAGAGUCUGAGAUAAGGUAGUUCAUCAACAAUUGCACCAACACCUCCAUUUUUACUACCUCUUGAGAGUGCAUCAUUAUACUCUUCCAAUGUGCUAUAACUCCUAAAUUUGGAGCUGUCAAAUUUCAUGCGUGUCAAGACAUCUUUGACAAAGGAACCUUUUUGGUACCCUACAUAUUCUCCAUUCUUGAUGAGAUCAUUGAGGUCUGUUAUAGUAGGUUGAAGCUGUUGCACUGUUAACAUAGAUGUUAAGCUGGCUGUAUAGCUUGAUGUCAGCACCAGAACCACGAAAACCCACACAAUCAGCACAAAUCUUGAUAAGUUACUUGUUAUCUUCUCUUCUGCAACAACCAGUCAUAUAUAGGAUUUGUUGAGAAACAAGGAGAAAUCUUAAACUUUUGGUCUAUAAUUUGAUUUGAGUUAGAGACUUACUAUGAGCAAAAACGAGAGUUGAGAAGGAAAACCAAAAUAUCAUCCCAACUUGCUUGCGUUUGGGUCCUCGAAAAUGUUUGUUUACACGAUGUUCGAGUACCCAAACCACAAAACCAAUGAAGACGAAGAAUGCUCCUGUUGCUAUCCACAGCUCGGCCUUUAAAGGUUUCAAGAAGAUCCAAGCGUUUUUCCUAUCAUCAUUCCUUACAGGCACAACUGCAGAAAUACUCGACUCUGAAAAAGGUAAUGUGAAAUCUACAUACUCAGAUCGGCUUGCUAAAAUGGUAACAUCACCUACAACUGCAUCAUAUUCCUGGUUCAAGCAAACAUUGAUUAUUUCAGUAUUUAUUGUUGGUCGCAAAAGCAGAACAUAGAUAAGGAGUCCAAAAAAGGAGCAUGUAAGUGAGUUAUUCAGCUGAAGAGGUUAAUUUUACCUUAGAAGUGAUCUUGUGAACAAGAUCAUCAUAGUUUUGAGAAGUAGGGCUAUGUGCUAUUGGAAAUGGAAUAAAUUCAUAGGGGACAGCAUAUGGCAAAGAUAGGAUGACUUCUUUGAAGACAUCUGGACCUAAACCAGUUGCAAUUACUGCUUGUGUCUUUGGAUCUCUUUCCACUUUAAUGAAUUGCUCCAGCCCUCCUUUGUCUGGAACUCCAACCCUUAACUUCUUCCCACUUGUGGGUAUUUCCCAGCCUCUCGGAACAAUAGUAGAUUCACCAGGCCAAAUGAUGACCCCUAGUUGCUUAUUAUUAGUUUUAGCUAUUUUACCAUUCAUCUUCAGUUUAUGCAAAAUGCCAUCCUUCUCUGUCCAGAAUCCAACACUUUUCUCUCCUUUCCCAAUUAUAUUCACAAUCUGAUAUGGGGAUGGCUGCAGUUCUCUAUCAACGAUACGGAAAUCACCACUUAGUCUUGGUUUUAGCUCUGCGUUUUGCAUAAAGUCAAUGAGCAGAGAUCCCACUUCUGAGGUUCCAAGUGCGUCUAGGUCUGUUAUGUUCUCUCUAGUGUCUGGUUUCCUUAAUUUUGGGAUAGCAGUAGUGCCCGCUUUCUCUACUGCUUCUGCUAAUAAGGUGAUGCUAUCAUAUGCCCAUAGCCCGAAAACAUUGAGUUCUACUUGGUCCAUGUCUGGAUACUCUUGACGAAAUCUCUUUCUCCAUCUCUUGGUGAACAUGUCAAGCUCAUUUGAUCUUGGAACAUAAGAUUUUACACCCAGAACACCUUGCAUUGAUGACUCAAUUACUGAAGUAUCUACCAGGUCCAGAAGACUCGUUAGCACAUCUGUGAUGAUCCAUGCAUAUCCACUGUUCAUCAUCCCGGUUUCUUUGGCCUUGAGGAAAAGGCGGGAGGCAAGAUGUUCUUGCAAGUGCACAAUGAACACCCUGGUCUGCAUUGUCUUCAACUUGUAUAGCUCCCUGAGGAUUUGAUCAUCAUUGGCUGAAGGAGAAAUACCACUUCUAUAGGAGACUAAAGUAUUGAUUUCCAGCAAGGUAUCAGUCAAAUAUGGAAGUAUCCCGGUUCCAUAGGGGCUUUCCUCAUAGAUUACUACAACCUCCCUCCAAUUAUAGUUUUUAACAAUUGCUGCAAUGGCUUUAGUCUGACUGGAAGAAGGAAGUGCUCCUCUGAUGAAGAAGGGAUUUUCCUUGACUGUAAGUAAAGGACUUGUUGCUGGAGAAAUUAUAGGGACUUUUACUCUGUUCCCUAAGUCGAUCACAAAAUCAGUUUGAGUAGACAUUUGUGGCCCAAAGAUAGCUUGCACUUGGACAUCCUUUAGCAAGUAUAUGGCUGCACAUACACAAUCAGACUUAUAAGUAAUUGUCUGAACAUCUCUUUCAAAAUAGAAAAACUAAAGGGAAAAGUAAUAUCUUAGAGAAAAAGUGAAUCUUUUGAAGCAAAGAGAGAGAGAUAAUGCUAGUUUAACAUAGGUAAAGCUUAGAGCUGAAUUUUACCAGCUGAUGCUGCUUCAACAUCAUCUUUCUUUGAAUCCCUGAUAUGAGGAACUAUCCUUAUGGCACCGCGACUAGUGUUGGCAUGAUAAUCCGCAAGAGCUAGUAAGAUAGAUAUGUGCAUUACUUUUCCUACUUCUGUUUCCAGAUCAAGAAUUAUUCCCACAUCCAUCUUUACAGCACUAGUGUUAUUAUCUUCACCUCUUAUUCCAAUUACAUAGUGGCAAAAGCUAAUGAUGGAAACAAGUUGAAUGAAAAUAAUUAGGAAUCUGCAUCUUGGAUUAUGCAUUUGAAAAACUCUUGUAGAAAGUAAUAUGAGAGUUGGACAAGAAGCAGUUGUGCUUGUGCAAGGUAUAUAACCACCAUUCAGAGAUGUGUCUUAAAGGUAUCUUAACUAUAACUUUCCUAUAAUUUUAAAUAAGACCAAACUGCAGAAAGAAAAGUCCAAAGUUUUCAAAGAAUUACAAAUGGUUUAAAAUAUUACUAGUUUAAUUAUUAAAGAAAGAGGACUUUUCACACUUGUUAGACCACAAGCUAGUAAAGCCUCCUCUUCAGUUUUGACCAAAUCAAUAAAUGUCUAAAUGAACAUAGUGACAAAAUUGAUUGGUACUCAUUCUCCCAAUACCCAAUGAAGUUUUUGUAUUCAUUGGAUGACUAUCUAGAGGCUACUAAAAGGACUUCCCAUAUUUAGGCUAAGUCAUGUUGAAAGUUGAGAGCUAUCUCAGUUACAAAUAAGUAGAAGAGACCAUUGUUUCUAUGACUUGGAUUGGAAAAGGGUAGCUAUGACUAGUAAUCUUUAGUUUACUUACACGGUUUCAGUCUAGAAUUGGUCAGUAGUAUAAAACUUUAUGGUGGUAGAGGCACAACUUGUAGGGCUGUUUCGGUUUAUGGUUAAAAAAACAAAUUGAACCAUAAUCCGAACCAAAUCGAUUAAAAAAUUGAUAUUUGGUUUGGUUUGGUUUUAGAUUUUGAAAAUUGACACUAUUUGGUUUGGUUUGGUUUUAAAACUAUAAAAAUAACCAAACUGAACGUGUAAUUAUAAUAACUCUAGUAUUGCUUAAUUGAAUCCACAGUAACUUUCAUGUGAAUUGUUUAUGUACUAGGUGUCUGUGUUUAUAUAUAUGUCUUCAAAAAAAUUAUUACUUUCAAAUCGAAAAAACAAAAAAAAUCGAACCAACAGUUAUUUUUUUCGUUUGGUUUUAGAAUUUAGAAACCGACUAAAUUGAUCUGGUUUUAAUUUUAACCAAUAAUCAAUCCAAACCGAACCAUGAACACCUCUAGGCACAAAUAUGACUUGGUAUGUGAGGGAUUACUAUAAUACCUAUCCUUUCACUUUUUUUUAAAAAAAAAUCUUCAUCCUCCAUUUUUUUCCCUUCUCUUUUUUUUUUUUAAAAAAACCAUUGGUAAAUUUUUCAAAUCAGUUUUUUUUAACUCAUGAGCUCUAUUCCUUUCCCUUUUAUAUUUUUUUAUAUAAUAAAAUAUAAGAUAAAAUAAAGAAUUUUUUUAAAAAGAAAUGAGAAAAAAAAUGAUGAAGAUGAGGGUGAGGAUAUAAAGGAGCAGGGGCGGAUCUAAGGGUACGGGUGGGGAUGCCAUGGCACCCGGUGAUUUUGGAAAAAUUGUUGUAUAUAUGUAUAUAUGUAUCAGAUGUUAAUAUAUAUUAGCUUUGCCACCCAGUGAAUGAAAUGAUAAAUGGUUCAAUUGGUAAAGGGCAUGAGUGCUACGCUAGCAAUGCAAGUUCGAACCUCACUACUAGCAUUGUUUUUUUUGCUUGGUUUGUGCGUAGGGAAGCUUCUUUUUUUGUUUUGUUUUCUUUUUUGUUUUUUUAUUAAUGUGUGAAGGGCUUUAGUUUUUUUCUUCUUCCAUUCAUUCUUAUUUAUUUACUAUACUUUAUUAAUUUCAAAUUGACUCCUUUUCACCGUAGUUAAUUCUUUUUUUUUUUAACUUUCACUUUCACUAAUUAUUAAUCUCUUGAUAUGAAUGUCGCGUGUUUAUUCUUUAUCAGUUAAUGAAUAUUGAACUAUCAAUAUCACAUAAAUAUUAUUAAGAAUGUAUUUAAAUAGUAGUUUUAAAAAAAUAUAAGGUUUAAAAAUGAUGAAUAUUAUUUCUAGAGUUCUUUCAAUUUAAAGGUUCUUUCGAUCCUCACCGACAUUCUUGCUAAUUAGUAAGAUGACUAGAUUGAAACUACAAUUUUAUUCUCUCUACAAUAUAUCUGCAACAACAAAUAAAGUCAAUGGAAUAUAAAUAUAUUAAGUUAACACUAUAAGAUGAUUUAUACAAGCUCAAAUUUUAAUUUGAAAAAAAAAAUCAUUUUUCCUCAAAGUCUAAGUGAAUGAGGCCUUUAAUUCCUAAAAAAAUGAAUUGUUUAGUUAUCUCUCAUCACAGAAUAUCUAAAAGAAAAUAUUACUAACAUGCAUGUUUGAUCAAUUUGUUUAUAAAAAUCGAAAAAGAUAAUAACCCGAAUUGGAACCCAAAUUAAAGCAACCGACCCGUUUAUCUUACUUGAACGAUGUAGCACCCAGGACCUCCAAAUCCUAGAUCCGCCUUUGUAAAGGAGAGAAGAAAGAUAGAACAUAAGAAAGGUAGGGUCCCAUAAUUUCUUAAUCAAAAAGUAAUUCCUUACCUACCAAGUCAUAUUUAUGCCUCUACCACCAUAAAAUUUUUCGUAUUAACUUGCUUGCAAGUUGCAAAACCAAACAAAGUAAACAUACCCAACAUGGAGAUUGAAUCUUGGAAUGAGGAUGGUUGGGUAUAUAUGUAGGUGUCAAUGUCAUUGUCUCAAUAUAUAUAUAUAUAUAUAUAUUACGUGGCACCCUUUUUUUUUAGUUUGUUUUAAAAAACAAUGCCAUCUUACUAUAAUUAGAAACAACGGAAAAGACUCAAAUAUGCUAUUGAAAUUUGAGAAAUAAUGCCGCUUUAUACUAAUAUAGUCCCGAGUUGGUAAUUAGAGUUAGAAGCUUCACAGCUUCCUCCACUCACCUCCACGGGCGAAUAUAGUCUACUAGACUAGCCAAGAAAGAGUGACGUAGACUAUAUUCUAGGUCAUUCGGAAGGGCUCCGUAUAGUUUUGGGGUGUAACGUUGUGGUUGUUCCCUCUCCUUUCAGUCGAGUGACUUCGUGCCUAUCCUUACCGAGAAAAAGGAGUUCCAGAGGCAUCUACCUAUCCUUACCGAGAAAAAAGAGUUCUAGAGGCAUCUUCCAUUCAUAUCUAUUUUGAUUUUUCUGCAACAUAUUUUGAUCUGCCUCUUCUUCGAUCUGGAAUUCCCAGCAAAUCCUUGACUCCUUGAAUACAAUGAAAUUUCACACCUGGCGAAUCUUUCAUCAUGAGGCGAUUAAGAAAGUCGUGGGCCUCGUAGUACCCGCAUACGACAACUCUGUGGAGCUUUUCGGGUCGAAAACUUGUUCGACGUUAGAACCGAUCUCAAAACCCUAAUAUCACCGUCUUCAGAGAAAGGACUUUCUCUAUAUCUAUAUUUAUGCAACUAGUUCUUUCACUUGCUUCCAAAUCCAUCCAUCUUACUUACUCAAAAGCUUUGAAUAUUCUACUAUAAAUCUUGCUUCUAGCUUUGGGCACCUCUGACAUAAACAAAAAUAACGUAUAUACAAGGCUAGCCCUUUCUCUCAAGCGUCUUGGUAUUGGAUCCGCUCUUCUGUUAAUAUGUACAUGAAUUAGAUUCUAUUCGAAUUCUUUAUUCUUAAGAGAAUCCCCAACCCGAACCAUUCUUAAGACCACCAAGCUCUCUCGAAUAAAUUCUACUCUUUCUGCUUUCGAGCUACACCGGGGGUAAAAUCUUUUCCCCACUAAGACGUGCAUCUUUAUGGCUAUAUCGUCCUGAAGACGGAUGCGACGGGAAGAAGUGGCAUUUGGAAGUGUUGCUGACUUAACAUUUAGGUUUCGGCAUAACAAAGCUUGCACUGUCUUUUCGCACUUAGGCGCACAUCGUGCCAUUGGUAAUGAUUCUACUACGGUGCCACAAAUUCGCAAGCUGAUCCUAAGUAAUCGUUGUUGUUCAUUGGAUUCCGGAGGAACUACUUCGUUAGGAUUGGGGAAUUGUUGCGAUUCUUCCUGAAUAGCCUGGAUUCUCCCGUCGAGAGUCACUUUGAAAGUAUUACCUAAACUCUUCCGACUGAAUAUGAUAAAGCCUAUAAAACAUAGAGCUACUUGUUGACACCCAAUUUUGACCUUUCACGGUAUAAAUUAAUCAAUUUGAGCUUCUUCAAUUUCAAACGAGUUAAAAUAAUUAGUUUUACAAAGUUUUAAGAAAAAAUAUAUAGUUUGCAAGUUAUUUUAAAUAAUUUCGUCACUUUUUAUAGUUUUUAGAUAAUAUAUAUGUUUUACAUAAUUAUGUAUAUAAUUAUUAUAUUUUAUGAUUAUUCAAAAAUCAUCUCAAAAAGAUUUUGUUUUAAUUAAAUAUUUUGGUUAAUUAGUUUAGUUAUAUAAUAGUUUAUAUAUUUUAAUUAAUUAGUUGUAUAUAAGUUAAUUAUUUUAAUUCGUUAGGAUUAAGAAGCUCGUUAUUUGAUUAAUAUUAAUUUGUUCUAUUUAUAUUCUAGUCAAAUUAACUAAAUUAAUUCAACUUUGGUUAGAUCUUUAAUUUUGAAUGGCUAUGAUCGAAAUCUUUUGGCUCUUUCCUCAAUUCCAAAUUUAGCCAUUUAGCUUUUCCUAAACCCCUUUAUUUCAGCCAAGCUUUAAACCAAUUUUUUGGGCCUCCUUCUUACAAUUCUCAAAGGCCCAUUCCAUUCUCAAUUUCUCAAAUUCCCAGCCCAAAACAGACCCAUACAUCAGCAGCAGCAUACAAAUCCAGAAACUCAAUUCUCCACAACAAUUCCCAACGAUACAACAGCAACACAGCGACCCGACCCGACCCGACCCGACCCAACCCGACCCGACCCGACCCAGACCUUCGUAACUUGUCUUCUUCGCGACCAAAUCGCUGAAAUCCAGCGAAAUCCAGACGAGAACAGUCGCUCAGACCGGAAAUCCCCCAGCAAAUCGCGUCCUCCUCUUCCCUUCUCCCUUCUUGUCCGUUGAAAAUUGUUACAAUGGACAACUUUAUUUCUUAUCUCUCCAAGAUUUUAAAUUUCGAAUUCAAAUUUUCAAUCCGUUUUCCCCCUUUAAAUAUGCCCUUUCACCCCUUUAUAAAUGGCCUCAUGAGUUUUCAUUGAAGGAGGAGAAGAAAAAUUAAGAGAAUAUAGUUUACAGAGACACAAAAAAUACCGACAGAACAGCCUGAAAGAAAGUAAAAAAAAAAAAACAAAGAGUUUGAGUCUCUUCUAUUCGAAUUCGAAGUUGUUUGUUUUUCGGAGCUCAUCUAAAUCUGCUCACAGUGGUGGAAGUUCUUGGUGGUUAAGCUCGUCGUCCUAGUCUCGCUGCUCCGAAGAAGAUAACAUCCCUUUUUCGAUUUUAGAUUUCUUUGUCGUGGGCCAAGAAUCGCUUAGUUCAUGGCUUGAUAUUGUGAUCUUGUUGCUCAACUGAUGUGACGACUGUUCAUUUCUUGAUCAUUGGAAAUCAUUUAGAUGUCAGAAUUCUGAGAGUGUUGACGACAAGUCGGUGGUAUGACUUGUUUGAUAUUCAUGUUGUUUGCUUGAUCUUUGUUUCCUUGAAGUCUUAAUGAUUCCGUUCAGUCUCGAGUUUGUUUCUCCUUGGUCCAAGUCCUCUUAGUUCACUGUUAAGCUUGUUUGGUUGGCUGUUGAAAAUGAUUAUUCAGAGACCAUUUCUCUAUAGGUGAUUUUGGUUUUCAUAAUCUGAUGUAUGGGCUAUUUCUUCUUCUCAUUACUCUAGCUAGUAAAAUUGUAUGAGCUACAUCAUCCCUUUUUCAUGGUGUUUGCUCCAUCUAUAUUCGACUAAGUAACAUAGUUCAUAUGUUAGUUGUUUGCAGCUUUAAAAUCUUAUUUGUAAUAGUGUUAGUCGUAGUCUUUGUUUCCUUGCACGUUGAGUUGAUUUAUCUCGAGUUUGACAUAGUUUACAUCAAGUUAAGAUAGAGUAGAUAAAUUGAUCAUUUAAGCUAGCUGUCUUAGGGCUAAUUUUAGACUUAAUGGAAUAUAGUUUUGGGUUAGUGUCAAUGGCAACAUUAUCUUUUAUGUUUUCUUGUUUGGAUGUUUGCUAGUUUCCAGUAGAUUGCUUUAUUUUCUUUUAUGAUUGUUUAAAUAAUACUUGAUGACAAACAAUCUUUUAAUAGUUUACAAGAUGCAUGUAGAUCAUAUGUUUAGAACUUCUAAUUACUCUUCGUGUAUCUUAAGUUGAAUGAAAAAUGGAAAUUCAGGCGCCAUCUGUUCUUAUUUUCUUUCACUGUGAAGAAAUUAUUUGUUUUAGUUUUGUCCAAAAUUUAGAGAACUUUGUUUUCCUUCUCCUUUGUUGAAUAUGUCGGAUUAUUGUUUGUUGUGGUUUCUAUAGCUUGUUUUAUUUUGACUCACUACUAUGAGUAUUAGUUUUUAUUUUUUGUUUAUGUCUCAUGUGAACUUGUCGUGGAGUCCAAUUUGGACUCAAAUCUAUCUUCUUUGCAUAUCGUUGAGUUAUUUUGAGUCAGCCGGGUGAUCCAAAUAGGGCUGUACAAGGCUAGAAAACUGAAACAAGUCUUGGAAAGCUGAAAUAGGGCUCUUGGAAGCCAAAAACGCAGGUGGAAAAAGGCGAAUAUACAAUGAUAUACAACAGAUAUACAUCGAUAUACAGGUCAAGAAAUGAAAAAUACAGGGCUAAGGAGAAAUAAAGCUGUUCGGAAGCAAGAAAUACAUGAAAAGAACUGAUAUACAUGCUCAUAUACAUUGAUAUACAGUCGAUGUAUACAAAAAAAGGAAAUUUGGUGAAAGGCCAAAUUUGCAGCGAAAUUGGCCCAAGAAGGGGCCCAAUUUCAUUAUCUCGUUUACACUUCUAAUCGUUUGAUUAUGUGUUGACUAAUCUUAUUUAACUCUAACUUUAAAUAACUUGAUUAGAUUCCCCAAAAAGACGAGUCAUUUUCGUUGUGUUGGUUUAUUUUAAUACAUUUCACCUGUUGUGUUCACUUAUUUUAUUAAUCAAUUAUUGAUCAAAUUUUAUAUUUUAAUUAAGUUAAAUCUUUGUUCUUAAAAAAGAUAUGUUUUAAGGCCGCUUCACUUGAUAACAUUUUAUUUUAAAGUGGCUUUAAGUUAAAGUAUUUUUUCUCAAAUGAACUAAAAAAGAAAAAAUAGUUCCCUCUCUACUUAGUCAUUUACUCAAAAAGGUUAGUCAAAACUUUUAUUCUUCAAUUAAUUUAAAAUGGUUCCAUACUUAAAUUAACAAAUUUAGUUUAAAUUAUUAUUUUAAAAGUGUAUCAAAUAAUUUCUAAUUAAUCUAGUUUUGUUAGAAUUCUAUCCAUUCGCACCUUAAUUCAAAUGUUUCAUUUUAGGUCCAUUUCUCUAAAAAUGAAAUAAUAUAAAAUGUGUCAUUUAUUUAAUUAUUUUUCUCGAAGUUAACCAAAUGUUGUACAGUAUUAUUCUCAUGUUAAAUCAUUUUUCUAAAGAUAGUCAAUAUAUAUUUUUUAGUCAAAUCGCAGGUCAACCGCAUGUUAGCGGACACUUCGAAUGCUUAAAUCCUUCUUGAAGUGUAAAUUGAACCCCGAACCAUCUUUGGUAUUUUCAAAUGAUUUUUUCUGUUUAAAUCUUUGAAAAUUAUAAGUUUUCUUAAUUUCUUAAAAAAAUUAAGUGGCGACUAUUUUCUAAGUAUUUUCUCAAAUUGAAUAUUUAGAACAUUUCAAAAAGUGAUUUUUCUAAAGGUUAGUUAAAUUACGACACAACACUACUAUCAUUUCUUCAUUAUAAAUUGAGAUCCGAAUAAAGACUCAUCUUAUUUCAUAUCAUAUGUGUCAGAAGCAUCAAAUGAUGUUUUAUGAGGUGGGGGAAUCCUAAUCCAAUGCCCUAAGCUUGCGGUGACAGAAUGCUGUUAUGUCCCUGGAGAUUCAAGAGACUGAUUUGGGGUUCUUGCAGAGUGGAACCAUGCAGUACCAGACACGAGAUAGAUCUUCCAAAGAACAAGGCCUUUUUCGAAUAAGCCAAUUCAUUUUGGACCCUGCAGAUCCACUCUUUUUCCUAUUCAAAGAUUAGCCUCCUGGCUCUGUGUUUUCACUUUUGCUGCAAUAGAGGAGAUUUCCAUUGGACUAGUUAAAAGACUUAGAUAACACACCGGGUUUACAUAAGAAAAAGUUCACGUAGAGAAAAGAGAUUAGACUAGUCAUUGCACUAGUAGCGUCUACGAGCCUCCCGCUUCGGUACCAUCUCCUUUUUUACCAGCCGAGCUGCCCUGUCAACCCUUUGCGGCACUUGCUUCCUAGAUAGAACUCACACAACGCAAACAUCAUAAAUGAGAACUAAGCAUAGUCUGACUCCCUAGGUCUUAUCUAUGUCAUCCGUUAAAAAUUUGGUUCAUCUAUAUCAUUUUCGUUUGAGAAAAAGACUCCUCCAUACCAUAGAGAAAAAGAAAAAGUGAAUCUUUUGAAGCAAAGAGAGAGAUAAUCCUAGUUUAUCGUAGGUAAAGCUUAGAGCUGAGUUUUACCAGCUGAUGCUGCUUCAACAUCAUCUUCUUUGAAUCCCUGAUAUGAGGGAACUAUCCUUAUGGCACCGCGACUAGUGUUGGCAUGAUAGUCUGCAAGAGCUAGUAAGAUUGAUAUGUGCAUUACUUUUCCCACAUCUGUUUCCAGAUCAAGAAUUAUACCCACAUCCACCUUUACAGCACUAGUGUUAUUAUCUUCACCUCUUAUUCCAAUUACAUAGUGGCAAAAACCAAUGAUGGAAACAAGUUGAAUGAAGAUAAUUAGGGAUUUGCAUCUUGGAUUAUGCAUUUGAAAAAACUCUGGUAGCAAGUAGUCUGAGAGAUGGGCAACAAGCAGUUGUGCUUGUGCAAGAUAACCACACAUUCAGAAUGAUAAAUUUUCCUAUAAUUAAUAAGACCAAACUCCAUAAAUGCAGAAACAAAAGUCAAAGAACAAAUGGUUGAAAAUCAAGUAUUCGUUUGAUUAUUGAAAGUGAGGACUUUUCACAUAUGCUACAACCGCACAGCUAGUAAGCAUACUACCCCUCAGGUUUGACUAAAUAAAAAAUUGGCAAAAUUGAUUGGUACUCAUUCCCCCAACUCAUUCUCCCAAUUAUAACCUAUGACGUUUGUGUAUUUAACUAUCUAGAGUCUAUUAAAAGGACUUCCCACAUUUUGGCUAAGUCAUGCAUGGUGAAAGUUGAGAGCUAGCUCAGUUCCAAAUAAGUAGAAGAGACCAUUGUUUCUAUGACUUGGAAAAGAGUAGCUAUGACUAGUAAUCUUUAGCUUACACGGUUUCAGUUUAGAAUUGGUUAGUAGUAUUAACUUGCUUGCAAUUUGCAAAACCAAACAAAGCAAACACACCCAACAUGGAAAUGGAAUCUUGGAAUGAGGAUGGCUGGGUAAUUAGGUGUUUGGGGUUCUAGAUUUUAGAACAGAACAAUAACUUUAAAUAUAACCGACAAAUUAACGAACGACAAUAUAUAAGAAACGAGAUUUUUUUUUAUUUUAAGAUGAGUGGAACUUCUUCUUUUUUUUUUUGCCUUUUCUAAUUGUUAAUCUUAUAUAUUUUUUAAUUUAUUUGUGAAAUUUGCAUAAAUAGCAAUUUUUUUAAUUUAAGAUGAGUGGAACUUCUCUUUUUUUUUUUUUUUUUGCUCUUUCUAAUUGUUGAUCUUAUAUUUUUUUAAUUAAUUUUUAUUUUUUAUUUGUUGAGGUUUGUCAUUAAAUUAGCCGAAGAGGUUUCAAACCCACAACUCUAGCAUGGGAAAGCAUUCCCAAGACCCCUUCCUUACCACUAAGCCAUCAAUUAGUUUUGUUAAGGGGUUCACAAGUUAAAAUACAUAUAUAUUUAUUUAAUUUUUUAAUACAAGUAUAGAGUUUACAUAAAAGCUAUUGGGUUCGCCCGAACCCCCACUAAGAUAGGCAUAAAAGUAUCAAUACAUUUAUUUUUAUGAAGGUAAAUACCAUUAGAUGUAACUUUUCAAGAAUGAAAACAUGUAUUAAAACAAAACUGAAAAGAGUAAUAACAUAAGUGAGAAAAAAGACAAGAAAUGUAGAGAGACAAGAGAGAGUUUUCUUAUUCUUCCAAGUAUAUUCAAGUGUUUUCCAAAUCUUCAAGUGCAUAAUACAAUCUCAAGACCUCUAUUUAUAUUGUUAUAAAAAGACAUACAAAGAGAUAACAAUAAACAUGAUAUUAAUUUUUGAGAAUGUAGGGAAGAUAAAGCGGUGUAGAAGAUAAAUGAGGAGAUGGUGAAGGUGUGAGUAUUAUUACAUAUAAUGGUGAAAUUACACCUUGAAGUUAUGGACAUCCACAUUAAUAUAAUAUAUUUACAACAAAACAUUAAUUAUAUAUAAAUAAUAACUAAAUUAAAAAUGAUGAGAAAAACAUAAAAAUGCCCCAAAAAAGGAGAAAAAAAUUAAAUAUGAAUAGAGGUCAUAGAGAGGUGUCACGUCACCUUGUUUAUAUCUAGUGUGUAUAAGAAAAUAUUAAAUAUAUUUUUAAAUAAUUAAUGUCAUUAUUUGAUAAAUAUUCUAAUAAAUAAUAUAAUAAAAGGGAGAAAUACAAAUUAAGUUACAAUUCUGAUAUUAUCUAUUCAGAAAAAUUGUUAAAAAAGUUUCAUGCUACAAUUUCAAUUUAAAAUUGCUGAUAAAAAGAUGAAAAUAUAAAAUUGAUAUGAAAAGAUUUAGUUAAAUAAACAAUCUAAUUAUCAUAGUUUCAUACUAAAUUUCAUGAUUUUAUAGCAAUAUUUAUUGAUUCAACCAUUAAUAUUAAAUCUACUUUAUCGUAAAUUAUGUGACUUUUUUUUUUUUUUGUAUAAAUGACUAUAUAAUAGAAAUAAGAAAAUCAAAAUAUAUUUGUGCUAAAUCAUCGUGAGGGAAAAAAAUAUUUGAAUUAUAUUCGAACAUAGUUAUACACAAAAUUCAAAAGUUAGAGAUUUUUUUUUGAAUAUCCGAUGCUCGUAGUGACACUCAUUUGAUACAUAUUUGUGUUGCAUAAGAUCCAUUAAUAUUUUAAUUUAUAUUUAAACUUUCAUUCUUAUAGUGUGCAUUGUGAAAAGAGAUACUUAAGUUGCUACAGUGAAACAUUACCGUUGAGGUUAUACUUUUACAAUAAAAAUAAAAUAAAAUUAAACACAUAAUUUUGUCGUAUUAAGAUUAUCAGAUAGUGAUGAAGAAAUAAAAAUUUUAAAAAAAUAUGAGUAUGUAGUGUUCAAGAUGUAGAAAAAGUGUCAAGAGUUAGAUAAUUCUUUUCAAUUUAUAUAUAUAUGUGUGGGACAAUAAAAGUUUAACAACAUCAGAAUAAUUAUUCCUAUUAUUACAAUAUUAUUGUUGUAAUUAUUAUAAAUAAAUUAGAGCAAUAACUCUCCAAAAGAUAACUCCAUUUUUUGAUGUGGGAAAAUAAAAUAAUUUUUUUUUACUUUCAAUAAUAAUAAAUUUAAACACAAAUUUGUUAUUAAGAGAAUUAAAUGAUGAAAUUUAAAAAAAUUCUUGAUAAAUAAGAGAGUUGAAUAAAUUAUUUUUUAGUAUAUAUAUAUACACACACUUGAUUAUUUUUAGGGAAAAGGGUAAAAAAUAUCCUCAAUUUUAGUUUAUUAGUUAAAUAUACCCCUAUCGUUGAAACAAAGUUAUUCAUACCAUCACCGUUACUAAUUUCACCAUUUAUACCCCUCAAUUGACGGAAAUUCCUAAAUCAAACAAAAUUGACCCGAUUUCUUAAAAAAUGACUCAUUUUCCAUUUUAAACCUAUGUCCGACCCAUCUAUCUAUCUUAAACCCAAAAGAAUUUAACCCAUUUUCUAUACCCAUUCAAAAAAGAAAAUUCAUUUGGAGCUACUUGGGAGAAUGAAUUAUAGGUGACAAAAAAGUGUUGAAAUGUAAAAAGAGUGACUCUAGUUUUAAUUAUUAAGUGUACGUGACAAAUUUUUAAUUAAUUUUUAAAAAUAAUUAUAUAGGUCCUCAAGUUUUUAUUUUUACACUUUCACCCAAAUUUAAGUAAACCCCUAAUUUCUAAAAUAGGAAAACCCCCAAAUCAGUUCUUUUUUGUUCUCUCCCAACGUCCCGCUCUUUUCACAUUUUUUUUGCUUCUAAUCUUCAUCACUAGCGCUUCUUCUUCCUCUUAUUGUAGCUUAUUGUAGAUUUCUUAUUUGCAGAAUUUGAGAAGGGAAAAUCUCAAAUUUUAAUUCAACACGUGAUUUGAAAAGGUCUAAACUUUAGAAAUCACUUCUUAACUGAUAAUUUUCAAUCAUUUUAACAAGUUAAUAGUAUUGUUUGUGUGCAUUAUUCAUUUAAAAAUUUGAUUUUUAUAUUAUUGUUCUUGUCACUGAUGUAUAAUAAUUUUCAGCAACUGAUAUGACUAUUUCAGUAAUUUACAACAAUUGCUGAAUGUUUUUGUUGAAUAAAUUGCCGCAACUGCUAUAUAUAUUUCAGCAGUUGCUGAAUAACUUACAACAAUUGUGAUAUUUUAAUAUAAUAUUUUUAUGAUCAAUUUUUAGUUCUAAGUUACAAUAUUUUCAAGUAUCUUCAACAUCAUUAAUGGGAGAUAGAAUAGUAGUACCGAUUGAUUGUAAUGGUGAAUGGGUUGAGUCUAACAAUCGUUAUAUUUAGCGUUGGAAGAGUAAAGAAUUGUCCGCGACAAUUGCGAUGAGUGUGCAUCGAGAUAUUGCAUAUGAUGAUUUUGCGAAUAAAAUCAUUACUUGUUGUAAAAUUGUGAGUUGGAAGAUAUUGUGAUCACUUACCUGCAUAGUUGUGGUGAAAAGCAGAAGAUUAAGGAUCUACAUGGUUGAAAGAUUGGUGGAGAAUCAUAAUUUAUGUGAUGACCAACAAGUGUUGAACGAUGAAUGUGGUAGGAUGAAUAUGAAUAUUCCAAAUGAAGAGUGUGAAGGUCAACAUAUUCUUUCUCAUGAAGUUCGGAAUGGAUUGCCCAUUAUUGGUGAAGUUGUUGAUAGGCAAGUACUAUGAACUCAUAAAUUUACUUAUUUCUAAAAGUUCAUCCUCUUUGUACACUUAAUUAAUUUUUGCUUUAGCUGAUAAUUAAUUAACUUAAUGUAGUCAUGCUCAAGAUGAUGGAACCGAUUUUUACAAAGAUAUGUCAUUUAAGAAUAAACAAGAAUUAGAUAUUGCAUUGAAAAUUGCUUGUGUCAAAAAAGAUUUUAGAUUGAAGAAGGUAAUUAAUUCGUGUUCAGUGUAUUGUGUCAAAUGUGAGCAUCUUGAGUGCAAGUGGUGGCUAAGAGCGGUGAAAGUUGAAAAUUCUGAUAGAUUUUUAUAUUAAAAAAGUAUGAAAAAAUGCAUACAUGUGGCUUGGAACAUCUUACGAGUCAUAAUCCACAUGCCACAACAAAAGUCAUUGGAGCAUACUUCAAAGAUAGAUAUCCCAAAGGUAAAGGUCCAUUUACAAAAGAUUUGAAAAACUCUAUCUGUAUUGAAUUGGGAUGCAAGGUUAGUUAUUGGAAAGUUGGAUGGGUAGCGAGAUUGCAAAGUCUUUGGUAAGAGGGACACAUGAACAUGGAUAUGGAGUGAUUGAUGCGUAUAAUCAUAUGCUUAGGACAUCUAAUCCGGGAAGUAAAACGGCGUUGAAGAUUGAUGAAAAUGGCAGGUUCAAGUUACUUUUUGUGACAUAUGGAGCUUCGAUUCUUGGUUUCGCACAAAUGAGAAAAGUCAUAGCUGUUGAUGGGACAUUUUUGAGAAGUAAAUAUGGUGGUGUGUUGUUGUCUGUUGUUACAUAGGAUGCGGAGAAUCAUAUUUUUCCGGUGGCAUUUUGCGUAGUAGACUCUGAAUGUGAUGCUUCCUACCGAUACUUUUUCGAGCAAUUGAGAAGUUUUGUACUUGAUAUUCCUGAAUUGUGCAUAAUCUCUGAUAGACAUCAAAGUAUUAGAAAGAUGGUUUCAAUUGUAUUUCCUUCAGCUCAUUAUAGUUGUUGCAUGAGGCACUUAGGAGAAAAUAUUCGAAAUAAUUUUCACAAUGCGAGUGUUGUCUACCACUUUUAUAAGGCGGCAAAAACAUACAAUAUUGAUGUGUUCAGUGAUCAUUUUAAUCGGAUAAAAGAUUUGGUUCCACAGGCUACCACACAUCUUGAACGCGUUGGAUUUCACCGAUGGAGCAGGGCAUUCUUUCCCGGAAAUAGGUAAAUUUUAUUAUAGUUAUUAUUGAUAGUUGGUAUAACUACUGCAGCUUUUUUAUAGCUACUGCUGCACUUAUUUCAGCACCUGCUGAGAAAUAUGCAACAAUUGCUAUAAAAACCAUACAACAGUUAUAAACACAUACUUAUAAUAUAUUAUUGGACACUUAUAUGUUACAGGUACAAUAUUAUGACGACAAAUAUUGCUGAGUCGGUUAACUCAAUGUUUCUUGAUGAAAGAAAAUAUCUCAUUACUGGUCUAUUUGAUGCAAUAAACAGGCGAUUUGCAGAAAAAUUUCAUGAGAGGCGUAUGAAAUUCAUUAAUGCACCAACCAUCUUCGUCCCUUUGAUAGAAAAAGACAUUGCAAAAGAUAUUAAUCUGGAGAACAAGCUAUUGGUCCAUCAAACUGCCAACUACAAGUAUAUUGUCACCAGUCAUAAUGAAGUUGCAACAGUUGAUUUGCUAGCCAAAUCUUGUACUUGUAAAGUCUUUGACAUUGACAAAGUACCUUGUCCACAUGCUAUGGCAGCGCUUCGAUGUCAAUAUGGUGAUGACUAUGGGAGACACAUUUAUGAGUACUCCUCUUUGUAUUACAAAGCAGAGGUAUACCUUAUUGCAUAUGUGGAGGAAAUUAAACCAGUUCCAUCUGAAGAAACUUGAAAAGUUCCUAUUGAGAUUUUAGAGAGAAAAAUAUCUUCUCCAUUUGUUGAGCCAGGCAAGGUUGGAAGAAGGUCCUCAAAAAGACAAAAAGGAAUCGGGGAAUCAUUUUCAACAAAGAAAAAUAAAUGUUCUUUAUGCAAAAGAAUUGGUCACAAGAGAACUAAAUGCUCCGAGCGAAAUGUUGCAUAAAAAUACAUUUGUUCUUCUUGUUUUUUGUGAACAUAUUUGAUCUUAUCUUUUUUGGUACUAAUUGUUGUUUUUGUUGUUAUUAUUUGUGAACACAUUUGAUCUUAUCUAUUUUGGUACUAAUUGUUGUUAUUUUGAUUGUAAGAGCAUAUUUUAUUUUAUUGUUAUUCUUAUUAUUACUUUAUUACUUGUUGUAGAGAAUUUUAGCAAUUGCUAUAUAAAGUACAACAACUUACUUACUUUUCAGUAGAAAAAUUCAGCAAUUGCUAUAAAAAGUACAAUAAUUUUCAUGCUUGUUGUAGAAAUUUAAACAAUUGUUGUGCAUAUUCAAAUAACUAUCUCAUUAUACAAGAUCACUAUCUAAUAUAAAUUUUAUUUUAAAAUUAAAUCAACACUACUUUAUUUAUCAUUAAAUAUGAGUGUUACAAACAAUAAACAAUCAAUUAGCCAAUUAAUUUGCUUACUUGUUAAAGAAAAUUUUAGCAAUUGUUAUAUAAAGGACAACAACUUUCUUACUUGCUGUAGAAAAGUUCAGCAAUUGCUAUGAAAAGUACAAUAAUUUUCGUGCUUGUUGUAGAAAUUAAAGCAAUUGUUGUAAAAUAACACAACAACUCGUUUAAUUGCUGUAGAGAAUUGUAGCAAUUGCUAUGAAAAGUACAACAAUUUGCUUAAUUGNNNNNNNNNNNNNNNNNNNNNNNNNNNNNNNNNNNNNNNNNNNNNNNNNNNNNNNNNNNNNNNNNNNNNNNNNNNNNNNNNNNNNNNNNNNNNNNNNNNNNNNNNNNNNNNNNNNNNNNNNNNNNNNNNNNNNNNNNNNNNNNNNNNNNNNNNNNNNNNNNNNNNNNNNNNNNNNNNNNNNNNNNNNNNNNNNNNNNNNNNNNNNNNNNNNNNNNNNNNNNNNNNNNNNNNNNNNNNNNNNNNNNNNNNNNNNNNNNNNNNNNNNNNNNNNNNNNNNNNNNNNNNNNNNNNNNNNNNNNNNNNNNNNNNNNNNNNNNNNNNNNNNNNNNNNNNNNNNNNNNNNNNNNNNNNNNNNNNNNNNNNNNNNNNNNNNNNNNNNNNNNNNNNNNNNNNNNNNNNNNNNNNNNNNNNNNNNNNNNNNNNNNNNNNNNNNNNNNNNNNNNNNNNNNNNNNNNNNNNNNNNNNNNNNNNNNNNNNNNNNNNNNNNNNNNNNNNNNNNNNNNNNNNNNNNNNNNNNNNNNNNNNNNNNNNNNNNNNNNNNNNNNNNNNNNNNNNNNNNNNNNNNNNNNNNNNNNNNNNNNNNNNNNNNNNNNNNNNNNNNNNNNNNNNNNNNNNNNNNNNNNNNNNNNUUGUAGAAAUUUAAGCAAUUGUUGUAAAACAAUAUAACAUUUCGUUUAAUUGCUAUAGAGAAUUGUAGCAAUUGCUAUGAAAAGUACAACAAUUUGCUUAUUUGCUGUAGAGAAUUUCAGCAAUUGCUGUAAAAAAUACAACAACUUAUUUAAUUGCUGUAGAGAAUUUCAACAAUUGGAUGAGUCAAAUCCUCACCUUCAACUAGUUCACUAACAACAUCACAAUUCUUUUUUUCGAUUAAAAUAUCGAUUCUUCAAUUUCAAAAUACCAUAUUCACUAAUGUACAACAAAAGUGAAUUAAAAGUGUAGCANNNNNNNNNNNNNNNNNNNNNNNNNNNNNNNNNNNNNNNNNNNNNNNNNNNNNNNNNNNNNNNNNNNNNNNNNNNNNNNNNNNNNNNNNNNNNNNNNNNNNNNNNNNNNNNNNNNNNNNNNNNNNNNNNNNNNNNNNNNNNNNNNNNNNNNNNNNNNNNNNNNNNNNNNNNNNNNNNNNNNNNNNNNNNNNNNNNNNNNNNNNNNNNNNNNNNNNNNNNNNNNNNNNNNNNNNNNNNNNNNNNNNNNNNNNNNNNNNNNNNNNNNNNNNNNNNNNNNNNNNNNNNNNNNNNNNNNNNNNNNNNNNNNNNNNNNNNNNNNNNNNNNNNNNNNNNNNNNNNNNNNNNNNNNNNNNNNNNNNNNNNNNNNNNNNNNNNNNNNNNNNNNNNNNNNNNNNNNNNNNNNNNNNNNNNNNNNNNNNNNNNNNNNNNNNNNNNNNNNNNNNNNNNNNNNNNNNNNNNNNNNNNNNNNNNNNNNNNNNNNNNNNNNNNNNNNNNNNNNNNNNNNNNNNNNNNNNNNNNNNNNNNNNNNNNNNNNNNNNNNNNNNNNNNNNNNNNNNNNNNNNNNNNNNNNNNNNNNNNNNNNNNNNNNNNNNNNNNNNNNNNNNNNNNNNNNNNNNNNNNNNNNNNNNNNNNNNNNNNNNNNNNNNNNNNNNNNNNNNNNNNNNNNNNNNNNNNNNNNNNNNNNNNNNNNNNNNNNNNNNNNNNNNNNNNNNNNNNNNNNNNNNNNNNNNNNNNNNNNNNNNNNNNNNNNNNNNNNNNNNNNNNNNNNNNNNNNNNNNNNNNNNNNNNNNNNNNNNNNNNNNNNNNNNNNNNNNNNNNNNNNNNNNNNNNNNNNNNNNNNNNNNNNNNNNNNNNNNNNNNNNNNNNNNNNNNNNNNNNNNNNNNNNNNNNNNNNNNNNNNNNNNNNNNNNNNNNNNNNNNNNNNNNNNNNNNNNNNNNNNNNNNNNNNNNNNNNNNNNNNNNNNNNNNNNNNNNNNNNNNNNNNNNNNNNNNNNNNNNNNNNNNNNNNNNNNNNNNNNNNNNNNNNNNNNNNNNNNNNNNNNNNNNNNNNNNNNNNNNNNNNNNNNNNNNNNNNNNNNNNNNNNNNNNNNNNNNNNNNNNNNNNNNNNNNNNNNNNNNNNNNNNNNNNNNNNNNNNNNNNNNNNNNNNNNNNNNNNNNNNNNNNNNNNNNNNNNNNNNNNNNNNNNNNNNNNNNNNNNNNNNNNNNNNNNNNNNNNNNNNNNNNNNNNNNNNNNNNNNNNNNNNNNNNNNNNNNNNNNNNNNNNNNNNNNNNNNNNNNNNNNNNNNNNNNNNNNNNNNNNNNNNNNNNNNNNNNNNNNNNNNNNNNNNNNNNNNNNNNNNNNNNNNNNNNNNNNNNNNNNNNNNNNNNNNNNNNNNNNNNNNNNNNNNNNNNNNNNNNNNNNNNNNNNNNNNNNNNNNNNNNNNNNNNNNNNNNNNNNNNNNNNNNNNNNNNNNNNNNNNNNNNNNNNNNNNNNNNNNNNNNNNNNNNNNNNNNNNNNNNNNNNNNNNNNNNNNNNNNNNNNNNNNNNNNNNNNNNNNNNNNNNNNNNNNNNNNNNNNNNNNNNNNNNNNNNNNNNNNNNNNNNNNNNNNNNNNNNNNNNNNNNNNNNNNNNNNNNNNNNNNNNNNNNNNNNNNNNNNNNNNNNNNNNNNNNNNNNNNNNNNNNNNNNNNNNNNCAAUUCUUUUUCGAUAAUGGUCUCAUUCACUUUUCCCUUUUUCUUUUUUCUAGCACUUGACAAUGCCUCCGAAAUUUGUCUCUUUGUUCUUUUAACAUAGUCGGGAGUAUAUGGAUGAGAGAUCUUUGAUGAUGGCCUAAUACCUCUCUUAGACUUCAUGGUGACGAUAACUUUCUCUAAAGACUCAAUCUUAGUAUUCAUGGUGACGAUAGUUUUCUCUAAAGACUCUACUCUGACAUUCAAUAAAUCUAUCUACUUACUACUCUACUUAAUUGAAAAUAAAAAAUGAAAUGGAGGUGCACCCAAACUGUGGAGCAGCAACCUGUGAUCCAUUCGGUUAACCACAUGUUCUUUUUACUCGCGAAAAUAGUGCCUUCGACCUGACUUUCUGAAAUGGGAUUCCGAGAAGGUGGAGUUCAAUAACCCAGUUCAGUGACCGAGGAGAGGUUGAGAAGAAGACAAUGAAUGGAAUGGUCGUUCUUGACAGAUCCGAUCGGGUGUUCAUAAUCUGGAGUAAAAGGAUUCGAACCUUUGCAUGCCGGUAUCCUUAGUGGAUGGAGUUUCUUGAAGACAAGGAACAUUCGAUGUGAGAAGAUGUUCCUACUCCAAAACCACCACUAAUAUCACCGAAGUCUCCUCCUCUUUCGAAAUCAACACCAUCAGUACAUCUAUCAACAUUUGGAGUAAAUUCUCCUCCCCCUCCAUCACCAACACCACUAAAAACUCUCUCAACAAUUGGAGAAGAUGCUCCUCCACCUCCUACAUCAAGAUUAUGCUCAUCAAUUAUGAUGUCUCUUUUUAUAGCCAAAACACCAUUCAAAUUUGUCUCAAACUUUUCAAUCUUAUCAUCCUUGGCUAAUUUCUUAGGCACAAACUUAGUGAAAAAUUCCAUUUCCAUUUCACUAGAUGUAGGAAUUAUCCAUGGAUGCACAAUCUACAUGUAAAAAUAAUAAUAAUUAAAAUGUGAUAAAGCAACUACUUUCUACAUGUAAAAAUAAUAAUAAUAAAAAUGUGAUAAAGCAACUGCUGCAUUUAAAUAUUAUUAUAUACCAGUUGUUCUAAUUGUUCCAGCAAUUGUUGUAAUAACUUCAACAAUUGACAGCAACUAAUUAAAUAAAUAAAACACUUGUUGAAAAGGCUACAUCAAAAACAGCAAAGCAACAACAAUUUCACUUUAACUAAAAAUGUUUAAAGAAUAAUGAUUACCGAGUCUUGAGGGGGAUCAAACAACUCAUUAAUGUUAGCUGAUUCGUUAUUAGUCACCAAAAGCCAUCGAAAAAUCCUUGGUGAAGACACUUGUUUCAAAAACACCUUAUAUUUCUUUUGGAGGAAAGGAACAACCUCAAAAUGCCCAACACUACAUAAAAUAAUCACAAAAAGAGAUCAAAAUAUUGGAAGCACCCAAAAAUAAAUGAAAUAAAUAUAUAUAUGAAUUAAAAUAAAAUAAAAUAAAAUUUAACCAUAAAGGCCCAUGGAAAGCCAUAAAGAUUGGUAGUCUUCCCAUCAACAGUCUUCACCGCUUUCAAUAGAUGCUUAAUUGUAGUAUCAUAGCUAAUACGACCCCAUGGAUAAGCAGAGAAAAAUCCACUUUUUUGGAAUAUUUGUAUUCACAUCUUUUCCACAAAGAAAGCUAUGAACAAAAUAAAGUAAACACAAUGAUUUUUUUACAUCUUUACUAAGAUUUUUGGGUUGGAGAUGUUCAAUCAACUCAUUGCUCUUGCAACUCCUUCCCACAACCUCAAGAAUUUCUUUUCGUCUCAUUUUUGUCUUAGUUGAUAUAUUUUCACCAUCAUACACUUCUUAAUUAUGGCAAUUUAAGCCGGUGAUGAUAACAAACUCCUUCAUUCCAAAACAAAUCAGCAUGCCACUAUAAUUUAUCCAAAUUUCUUCUUUUCGAUGGCUAUAAAUUUGACGGCGAAGAAGUUGGUAGACUAAACUCAUUUGAAAUCUUAUACGAUCUUCAAGUGGUAAGUAAUUUCCGAAAAUAGAAGAUCGAAAGAACUUUGCCAAUUUUGUUUUCUAAAAUCGUUCUAAAUUUAGAAAACUUACGUAACUCCGACUUAACAGUUAAAGAACCUCUUAAGUUUGGAUACAUAUCAAUCAUUGACUCCUAAUUGUAAUUUGCAUACCUAAUCGACUUAACAAUGAAGUUAUCGAGUGAAGGACUGAGCGGAGAAGACUCAACAAUAUGAGAUGUCUCCUUUUUUGGAAUGGCUAUAUCAUCUUGUUCCUCCUCAACUGCUCUAUCAUCUCUUUCUACAAUUGUAGAAGAAACAUCUAUUUCAUGUUCUCUUUCUUCUUCUAUAGAUUUUUUCAAAGUUGUGUUUUCUAGUUCUUCUUCUUCUCUUUUGUCUUUGUGUUCUGAUUCGCCUUUCAUACGUUUUAGUAGGAGUUGUUCGUUUUUUCCUUGGAGUCAUGGAUGCACAAUCUAUAUAUAAAAACAAUAAAAUCAAAAUGUAAUAAUAAAAAAAGACAAUUCAUUUUCAUUUAGAUAAUUUUGAAAGUUAGUUUCAAAACUACAUAAAGAAAUAGGGUAAACAAUUAUAAAUAUAUCAUCAAAAUUUGGCUGGAUGCAUGCUAUUUGAAGUAUAUAUGCAAAUCAUCUAUAUGCCAUCUUGUUUGGGAUUGAGGUAUAGUAAUUAUUGUUGUUGUAUAUAAAGCAUGCUAUAAAAUAAGGUAACAACAACAUCAGGAAGUGACAAAAUCAUAUUACAUUUUUCCUCUUAAAUCAUGAACAAAAUCAUAGGCUUGAAAAAAAUGAAUAUGUUACUAGUUACUAUAUAAUACAUUAUGUGAAACACACCCACCAAGAGUUAAUGAACAUCAUAAUAUUGGAAGAUAACAACUAAUACAAGUGCUCAACUACCAAUGAUCAAACUAACUUAAGACUAAGAAAAAUAAAUGAUCUCUAAGAACAACAUUCUCCAUAAGAUGAGCAACAAUUAAAGGUCCAAGAAAGACACCUCUAAUGUCUCAAACAUUUACCUAAAAAAAUCAAACUUAUUUUUUCCUAUAGGAAACAAGAACCUAAAACAGGGCAAAACAUUAAAAUGCAGACAUUAAAGAGCCAUCAAUCACCACAUAGAAGAAGAUAAGAAUAACCCCACAUAGAUAACAAAAAAAAACAGAAGAAGGAUCAAUGAAAGCACACAAAUCUUGUGUAAAAGACCCACCUUUUUUCCGCAAUAAAACCCUACCAAGCAAAAUCGUUAAACCCACAAACUUCCAUAUGCUAAAAACAAAGAAGGUCUAAUAAAACCCAAUGGAAAGAAAAGAAAAGAGUGUUACCUUGAGGUAGAUGACGACUAUGACAAAGAAGACCAAGACGAAGGUAUUGGAAGUUGCCAACAAUUUUUUCGCAACAAUGUCGUCUGCCUUUGCUACAAGCUGUUGCAAGGAAGAAAAAGAAAGACAAUUGGGAAUGGGUUUCAAGCUGUUGCAAGAAAGAAAGAAAAGAAAGACUAUUGGGAAUAGGUUUAUUUGAAUAUUUUUAAAAGUUUAGAAGUUUUAAAUAUUACAUUUUAAUCCCCAAUUAUCUUAAUCACUAAUUAAGAAGGGGUUUGACUUGGUCUUUUUUUUUUUGUCACCAAUUUUAAUUUUAAGACAUUUUUGUCACCUUCUCCUGAAUUAUCUCGAGCUACUUCUCCAAUUGUGUUUCCCCAAUUCUGCCAUGAUUCUUCAUUUGAACUUUAUUUUUUCUUUAACAACAAUGGAGCAGCCAAGAAAUACUAGAAAAUAAAAUGAAAACAACCGGUCAAUGGAGUAAAUUUUAUCAGAAAAAAUAAAGUUUUUUUUGGAGCAAUAAUUUUGUUGAUCGAAUUUAACAACAGGGAAGAGAGGGAGAUGUGGCGUGACGUGACUUCAAAGACAUUGUCGAGCAGCACCUAAACACACAAAAAUCGAUCCGAUCUGAGCACUUUUAGACGAGUAUGAUGACUCUACUAAUGGAGGAAAGAGAAGAAGGAGAGUGGCAUCGUGGUUAGCCAUGGCCGUUUCCGAAGCAAACCGUCGUCGCCGGAGCUCGAAGCAGAUCAUAGCAGUCAUGAAAGUAAGGAAAAUAAAGACAAUUAAAUAUCAAAUGAUAUUAUGAACAUAAUUAUUAAUAUAAUUUAGGAGUUAUGAUCAUCAAAAGUCAUGAAAAUAAAGACAAGUAAAAUUUUCUAUUAAAAAAUAUAAAUAAAUGAAGGAAUAUAAUUGACAUAUUCAGUUUUGUACAACAAUAAGAUAUAUAUAAAUAAGAAAAAUUAUCAAAAAAUGAGAAAAAAAGAAGUUAAAUAUGAUUCUUGGCCAAAAAAAUGUGUCACGUCACUUUUCUUUUAUCUAGAUAAUUUAUAUGUUGGUAAAGAAAGUAGAUUGAGAGAGAAAAAUAAUUUUACUAAGUCGUUUAUAUCCUAAUCAAAUACUUUUGCAUUUUGAAUUCGGACCAGAUCAUAGCAGUAAUUUCUGAAAUUUCAAAAACUUAAGAACUUCUAACAAUAACAAUAAAAAAAAAAUUAAAAUAAGAAGAUCACAAAGUUACAUAUUAAUAGUUAAAUUUUUUUAUGAAUUAAACUGUAUUUUGAAAAUUAAUUAACUUUACAUUCUCAUGUUCUAUCAUUCAUCUAUUGGACUAAAAAUACCUUUGAACUAUUAGAAUAGGUCUAAAAAUACCCCUCAUUCAUCUAUUGGGCUAAAAAUACCCAUUUAUCCACCUUUUUGGUCCAUCUCUACCCUUAAAACUAACAACCACUUUUUUAAAAAAUUAUUAUUAUUAUUAUUUGUUACAUGUCAUUUUCUUAUUGGAUAAAUUAUCUCAACCCAUUUAAUUUUCCCCUACCCACCCAUUGUAGUGAACAUGAUCAAACCCAAUUAGAAGACCCAUUAAAAAAUAAAUUGAUUGAAUCUUUCUCCCCUAACCCCAAGCCUCUUUCGUCUUCCCUCUUUUCUUAUUCAAAAAUUUCAAGAUAAUAUUCAAUCAAAUAAUACAAUUUCCGCUGCAAUACUAACUUGAAGUUGAAGGAUUCAAGGAGUAUUGAUUUUUGCAGUCUUCUUUCCAUCACGUAGAAAACUACACCAAAAUCUAUCAAAAUUGCAUCUAAGCUAUAACAAAACAGAAGCAAACCUGCACCUAUAUUAUACCAAAAACUAAAUCAAAACUGUAAAAAAACAGAGGCCAAAAGGCAAUGAAAGUGCACCAUAAUGAGAUUAAAAACUGGACCAAAAUUUGAUGAUAAACAGCACCAAAGCUGGUCCAAAAACGAAAAUAAAAGUGGUUCAAAUUUACUUUAUUAACGAUGGAAUAUGUUACAAUGAAAUUUACGAAUUAUUCCAACUCCUUAAACGUAAGAAUAUUAAUCAAACUAAACACAAUUUCACUAUCAUACCAACAAUAAUUGUAAUUAUAAUUAAGAACAUUAUACUAACUAGACACCAUCAACAAAUUUUCAUAUCAUACACUUAUCUAGAUUGCAUUGGACAUUGUAUCAUUUGAUUGAAAGUAGUCUAGAAAUAUUUUGAAUAAGAAAAGAGGGAAGAAGAAAGAGGCUUGGGGUUAGGGGAGAAAAAUUCAAUCAAUUUAUUUUUUAAUGGGUCUUCUAAUUGGGUUUGGGUCAUGUUCACUACAAUGGGUGGGUAGGGGAAAAUUAAAUGGGUUGAGAUUUAAUUUAUCCAAUAGGAAAAUGACAUGUAACAAAUAAUAAUAAUAUUUUUUUUAAAAAAAGUGGUUGUUAGUUUUAAGGGUAGAGAUGGACCAAAAAAAUGGAUGGAGGGGUAUUUUUAGCCCAAUAGAUGAAUGAGGUAUAUUUUGUCGAGGGGGUUCGGAUGAACACUCUCCCUCCCUUGAUUUGCUCAUCGAUACUAUUAUUGUUAGUGCAAGAGGAAACUGCUAGGGAAGUUGCCUAUGAUAUAUGUUGGAGCAGAUGGGAUAUAAGAUUUUGAUUUGAUGGGUUCAAUUUUUAGAUUCUUAUCAUUGAGCCCGUUAUACUUUGAAAUUAUGGUGGGUUCAUGAUAUUCUAUUAUUAAUUAAAAUUUUAGUGAUUUUUCACAUAUACUUUUAUGAUCUGUGUCAAAAAUGCAAAUCUUAUACUUAUAUUCGCCAUCCGCCCUGUGUAACUGAACAUAUUACUGUUUGUCUUCCAUGUAGCAGUGAUCCUAAAACCUUUCCUUAUUUAUGAUCUGUAACUAUGUUCUUAUCCUCUAGGCUAGUUCUAGCACCUGCAUUAUAAAUUCACUACUACUAUAUCUUUCUUUCUUAUUGCAUUUGGGAUUUGCAGAUUGCUCUUUGUUAUCAAAACAUUGCACAAAUCUCUCAUGUGGUUAUUCACAUAUAACCCCCAUUAUUUCAUAUUUUAUAUAAGAAUUAUGUAAUCAAAAAAUAAUUUAGCAUCUUAUGUGUUGAUUUUGUUCUGUUAUUGUAACAUAACAAAACUACCUCAUUUGAAUUUCUUGAAAACGGAUGCAUGUAUUGAAUUCUUUCAUGCCACACGUAUUUCUUUAAAUUAUUCCAAACAUAAGUACAACAACAACAUAAGUAGUGAUGAAAAAUACAAAGUGAACAUAAAAUUGCUAAAGAAACAACUAAGAAAAAGUAAGGGUUGAAUCCAUCUAAUGGAAUCCUGGAGGCCACCUCUUGAUGCUAAUAUUAUGGCCAAGAGUGACAAAGAAAUAGUGUAAUCUGAUUUAACUAACCCUAAAGCUAGUUCAUCUCUGUACAAUCUCUUACAGGGCCCUAUUCAGGUGUGUCACAAUUAUGUUAGCAGCUAUAUGUGUCAUCUUUCUUCAAUCGUUCCUGACAUUGUUUCAUGAACUGGGGUUCCAGUUUCUGUUGUAGAGAACCCUUCAGAAGCACGGGAUUCUCCUAGGCCAUCGGAGAUUCCGAUUUCUGGGCUUUGCAAAGGAAGGUUGGGCGAUAAUUCAAUAGAAGCAUCACUUUCUGCAAACACUGUAGCCGUUAGGCUUUCAUUCCCUUCAGAUGGCUUUUUUGACAUAGAAUUAGAGUCGUCUCUCUUUAAAUCAAAGACUUUUGCUAUUGCACAAAGCUUUUUUCCUAUUGAAUCAUCAGUGACUAAGAUUUCUCUAUUCUGAUAAAGGAAGAUGAGGAAGAAUAGGAGAAGAGAGGAGCCUGCUGAUAGGAGAAGAGCGGAGCCUGCUGAUACACCAGCAAUAAGGAAAAGGCCCUUAAAACUAUCGAGUGUGAGGCUAGAUGCUAUAGCCAUUCCAUCUUGCUUUAGACAAUUUGUUUCAUUCCCAAACCAUUUCUGGAUUAUGUUAUUCAUAGUCUCUCCCUCUAUCACCUUCAAGACUGCUCUUGAGACGUCAGGUACCAAAGGAGAUCCUUUUGGAAAUGCCUGCAACAAGUUGUGGGAAAAUUAAAGAUUAGAUCAUUGAGUAAACCACUAACCACUCUAAAACAAAUGUUAACACUUGCUGAAACAUCAGUUAAGUACAACAAUCUUACAAAUCCAAAGCCGGCAGCCUUGUAUGUCGGACCAACCAUAAUAUACUUCCUGCAGUAUUUGCUGAGCAAGAGUCUGAGAUAAGGUAGUUCAUCAACAAUUGCACCAACACCUCCAUUUUUACUACCUCUUGAGAGUGCAUCAUUAUACUCUUCCAAUGUGCUGUAACUCCUAAAUUUGGAGCUGUCAAAUUUCAUGCGUGUCAAGACAUCUUUGACAAAGGAACCUUUUUGGUACCCUACAUAUUCUCCAUUCUUGAUGAGAUCAUUGAGGUCNNNNNNNNNNNNNNNNNNNNNNNNNNNNNNNNNNNNNNNNNNNNNNNNNNNNNNNNNNNNNNNNNNNNNNNNNNNNNNNNNNNNNNNNNNNNNNNNNNNNNNNNNNNNNNNNNNNNNNNNNNNNNNNNNNNNNNNNNNNNNNNNNNNNNNNNNNNNNNNNNNNNNNNNNNNNNNNNNNNNNNNNNNNNNNNNNNNNNNNNNNNNNNNNNNNNNNNNNNNNNNNNNNNNNNNNNNNNNNNNNNNNNNNNNNNNNNNNNNNNNNNNNNNNNNNNNNNNNNNNNNNNNNNNNNNNNNNNNNNNNNNNNNNNNNNNNNNNNNNNNNNNNNNNNNNNNNNNNNNUAAUCUUGUGAACAAGAUCAUCAUAGUUUUUAGAAGUUGGGCUAUGUGCUAUUGGAAAUGGAAUAAAUUCGUAAGGGACAUCAUAUUUCAAAGAUAGGAUGACUUCUUUGAAGACAUCUGGCCCUAAACCAGUUGAAAUUACUGCUUGUGUCGUUGGAUCUCUUUCCACUUUAAUGAAUUGCUCCAGCCCUCCUUUGUCAGGAACUCCCAACCCUUAACUUCUUCCCACUUGUGGGUAUUUCCCAGCCUCUCGGAACAAUAGUAGAUUCACCAGGCCAAAUGAUGAUCCCUAGUUGCUUAUUAUUAGUUUUAGCUGUUUUACCACUCAUCUUCAGUUUAUGCGAAAUGCCAUCCUUCUCUGUCCAGAAUCCAACGACUUUCUCUCCUUUCCCGAUUAUAUUCACAAUCUGAUAUGGGUACGGCUGCAGUUCUCUAUCAAUGAUACGGAAAUCACCACUUAGUCCUGGUUUUAGCUCUGUGUUUUGCAUAGAGUCAAUGAGCAGAGAUCCCACUUCUGAGGUUCUAAGUGCAUCUAGGUCUGUUAAGUUCUCUCUAGUGUCUGGUUUCUUUAAUUUUGGGAUAGCAGUAGUGCCCACUUUCUCUACUGCUUCUGCUAAUAAGGUGAUGCUAUCAUAUGCCCAUAGCCCGAAAACAUUGAGUUCUACUUGGUCCAUGUCUGGAUACUCUUGACGAAAUCUCUUUCUCCAUCUCUUGGUGAACAUGUCAAGCUCAUUUGAUCUUGUAACAUAAGAUUUUACACCCAGAACACCUUGCAUUGAUGACUCAAUUACUGAAGUAUCUACCAGGUUCCAUAGGGGCUUUCCUCAUAGAUUACUACAACCUCCCUCCAAUUAUAGUUUUUAACAAUUGCUGCAAUGGCUUUAGUCUGACUGGAAGAAGGAAGUGCUCCUCUGAUGAAGAAGGGAUUUUCCUUGACUGUAAGUAAAGGACUUGUUGCUGGAGAAAUUAUAGGGACUUUUACUCUGUUCCCUAAGUCGAUCACAAAAUCAGUUUGAGUAGACAUUUGUGGCCCAAAGAUAGCUUGCACUUGGACAUCCUUUAGCAAGUAUAUGGCUGCACAUACACAAUCAGACUUAUAAGUAAUUGUCUGAACAUCUCUUUCAAAAUAGAAAAACUAAAGGGAAAAGUAAUAUCUUAGAGAAAAAGUGAAUCUUUUGAAGCAAAGAGAGAGAGAUAAUGCUAGUUUAACAUAGGUAAAGCUUAGAGCUGAAUUUUACCAGCUGAUGCUGCUUCAACAUCAUCUUUCUUUGAAUCCCUGAUAUGAGGAACUAUCCUUAUGGCACCGCGACUAGUGUUGGCAUGAUAAUCCGCAAGAGCUAGUAAGAUAGAUAUGUGCAUUACUUUUCCUACUUCUGUUUCCAGAUCAAGAAUUAUUCCCACAUCCAUCUUUACAGCACUAGUGUUAUUAUCUUCACCUCUUAUUCCAAUUACAUAGUGGCAAAAACCAAUGAUGGAAACAAGUUGAAUGAAGAUAAUUAGGGAUUUGCAUCUUGGAUUAUGCAUUUGAAAAACUCUAGUAGACAGUAAUAUGAGAGCUGGACAAGAAGCAGUUGUGGUUGUGCAAGAUAUAUAACUAUAACUUUUCUAUAAUUAAAAUAAAACCAUACCUCAUAACUGCAGAAAGAAAAGUCAAAGUUUUUCAAGAAUAACAAAUGGUUUAAAAUAUUACUUCUAGUUUGAUUCUUAAAGAAAGAGGACUUUUCACACUUGUUAGACCACAAGCUAGUAAAGNNNNNNNNNNNNNNNNNNNNNNNNNNNNNNNNNNNNNNNNNNNNNNNNNNNNNNNNNNNNNNNNNNNNNNNNNNNNNNNNNNNNNNNNNNNNNNNNNNNNNNNNNNNNNNNNNNNNNAUUCAUCUUCAGUUUAUGCGAAAUGCCAUCCUUCUCUGUCCAGAAUCCAACGACUUUCUCUCCUUUCCCGAUUAUAUUCACAAUCUGAUAUGGGUACGGCUGCAGUUCUCUAUCAAUGAUACGGAAAUCACCACUUAGUCCUGGUUUUAGCUCUGUGUUUUGCAUAGAGUCAAUGAGCAGAGAUCCCACUUCUGAGGUUCUAAGUGCAUCUAGGUCUGUUAAGUUCUCUCUAGUGUCUGGUUUCUUUAAUUUUGGGAUAGCAGUAGUGCCCACUUUCUCUACUGCUUCUGCUAAUAAGGUGAUGCUAUCAUAUGCCCAUAGCCCGAAAACAUUGAGUUCUACUUGGUCCAUGUCUGGAUACUCUUGACGAAAUCUCUUUCUCCAUCUCUUGGUGAACAUGUCAAGCUCAUUUGAUCUUGGAACAUAAGAUUUUACACCCAGAACACCUUGCAUUGAUGACUCAAUUACUGAAGUAUCUACCAGGUCCAGAAGACUCGUCAGCACAUCAGUGAUGAUCCAUGCAUAUCCACUGUUCAUCAUCCCGGCUUCUUUGGCCUUGAGGAAAAGGCGGGAGGCAAGAUUUUCUUGCAAGUGCACAAUGAACACCCUGGUCUGCAUUGUCUUCAACUUGUAUAGCUCCCUGAGGAUUUGAUCAUCAUUGGCUGAAGGAGAAAUACCACUUCUAUAGGAGACUAAAGUAUUGAUUUCCAGCAAGGCAUCAGUCAAAUAUGGAAGUAUCCCGGUUCCAUAGGGGCUUUCCUCAUAGAUUACUACAACCUCCCUCCAAUUAUAGUUUUUAACAAUUGCUGCAAUGGCUUUAGUCUGACUGGAAGAAGGAAGUGCUCCUCUGAUGAAGAAGGGAUUUUCCUUGACUGAAAGUGAAGGACUAGUUGCUGGAGAUAUUAUAGGAACUCUAACUCUGUUCCCCAAGUCGAUCACAAAAUCAGUUUGUGUAGACAUUUGUGGCCCAAAGAUAGCUUGCACUUGGACAUCCUUUAGCAAGUAUAUGGCUGCACAUACACAAUCAGACUUAUAAGUAAUUGUCUGAACAUCUCUUUCAAAAUAGAAAAACUAAAGGGAAAAGUAAUAUCUUAGAGAAAAAGUGAAUCUUUUGAAGCAAAGAGAGAGAGAUAAUGCUAGUUUAACAUAGGUAAAGCUUAGAGCUGAAUUUUACCAGCUGAUGCUGCUUCAACAUCAUCUUUCUUUGAAUCCCUGAUAUGAGGAACUAUCCUUAUGGCACCGCGACUAGUGUUGGCAUGAUAAUCCGCAAGAGCUAGUAAGAUAGAUAUGUGCAUUACUUUUCCCACAUCUGUUUCCAGAUCAAGAAUUAUGCCCACAUCCACCUUUACAGCACUAGUGUUAUUAUCUUCACCUCUUAUUCCAAUUACAUAGUGGCAAAAGCUAAUGAUGGAAACAAGUUGAAUGAAAAUAAUUAGGAAUCUGCAUCUUGGAUUAUGCAUUUGAAAAACUCUAGUAGACAGUAAUAUGAGAGCUGGACAAGAAGCAGUUGUGGUUGUGCAAGAUAUAUAACUAUAACUUUUCUAUAAUUAAAAUAAAACCAUACCUCAUAACUGCAGAAAGAAAAGUCAAAGUUUUUCAAGAAUAACAAAUGGUUUAAAAUAUUACUUCUAGUUUGAUUCUUAAAGAAAGAGGACUUUUCACGCUUGUUAGACCACAAGCUAGUAAAGCCUCCUCUUCAGUUUUGACCAAAUCAAUAAAUGUCUAAAUGAACAUAGUGACAAAAUUGAUUGGUACGCAUUCUCCCAAUUAUAUAUAACCUAUGACGUUUGUGUAUUUAUUUGAUGACUAUCUAGAGUCUAUUAAAAGGACUUCCCACAUUUUGGCUAAGUCAUGCAUGGUGAAAGUUGAGAGCUAGCUCAGAUACAAAUAAGUAGAAGAGACCAUUGUUUCUAUGACUUGGAAAAGAGUAGCUAUGACUAGUAAUCUUUAGCUUACACGGUUUCAGUUUAGAAUUGGUCAGUAGUAUUAACUUGCUUGCAUUUUUAUUUUAUUUUAAGAUGAGUGGAACUUUUUUUUUUUUUGGCUUUUUCUAAUUGUUAAUCUUAUAUAUUUUUUAAAUUUAUUUGUGAAAUUUGCAUAAAUAGCAAUCUUUUUUAUUUUAAGAUGAGUGGAACUUCUCUUCUUUUUUUUUUUUUGCUUUUUCUAAUUGUUGAUCUUAUAUUUUUUUAAUUAAUUUUUAUUUGUGAGGUUUGCAUAAAUAGCCGAAGAGGUUCAAACCCACAACUCUAGCAUGGGAAAGCAUUCCCAAGACCCCUUCCUUACCACUAAGCCAUCAAUUAGUUUUGUUAAGGGGUUCACAAGUUAAAAUACAUAUAUAUUUAUUUAAUUUUUUAAUACAAGUAGAGGGUUUAUGGAAAAGCUAUUGGGUUCGCCCGAACCCCCACUAAGAUAGGCAUAAAAGUAUCAAUACAUUUAUUUUUAUGAAGGUAAAUACCAUUAGAUGUAACUUUUCAAGAAUGAAAACAUGUAUUAAAACAAAACUGAAAAGAGUAAUAACAUAAGUGAGAAAAAAGACAAGAAAUGUAGAGAGACAAGAGAGAGUUUUCUUAUUCUUCCAAGUAUAAUCAAGUGUUUUUCAAAUCUUCAAGUGCAUAACACAAUCUCAAGACCUCUAUUUAUAUUGUUAUAAAAAGGCAUACAAAGAUAUAACAAUAACCAUGAUAUUAAUUUUUGAGAAUGUAGGGAAGAUCAAGGGAUAACAAUAAACAUGAUAUUAAUUUUUGAGAAUGUAGGGAAGAUCAAGGGGUGUAGAAGAUAAAUGAGGAGAUGGUGAAGGUGCGAGUAUUAUUACAUAUAAUGGUGAAAUUACACCUUGAAGUUAUGGACAUCCACAUUAAUAUAAUAUAUUUACAACAAAACAUUAAUUACAUAUAAAUUAUAACUAAAUUAAAAAUGAUGAGAAAAACAUAAAAAUGCCCCCAAAAAAGGAGAAAAAAAUUAAAUAUGAAUAGAGAUCAUAGAGAGGUGUCACGUCACUUUGUCUAUAUCUAGCUUUAUUUUAUAUAUAUAAGUAAGAAUAGAGGUCAUAGCCUAUAUCUAGCUUUAUUAUAUAUAUAGAUUUUUCUUCAAUUUUUGUUGGUUUUCUCUUUUUAAAUUUAAUUAUGUAAUACGUAAUAAUAAAAAAAAAACAAGAGCCUUAUUUUCCCCCAAUUUUCAUUGGUUUUUUCUUUUUAAAAUUUAUUUAUGUAAAUAUAUUCUUUUUAAAAUUUAUUUAUGUAAUUAUUAUUUUUUUGGAAUAUUUUUAAUAGCUCAAAAAAAAUUAAUACAAUUGAAUGAAAAGAGAAAAUCGGGUUAUUUUAAUCAAAAUUGAACAAUUUGAGUUGAUUUGGGGCUUUCCGUCAAAAGAGGGGUAUAUAUAUGGUGAAAUUAGUAACGGUAGGGAAAAAACUAACUUCACUUUAACGGUAAGGGCAUAGUCAACCAAUAAAACAAAAUUAAGGGGUGUUUUUGACCCUUUUCCCUAAUCUUUUUCAUAGGUAGCAGUGGAUACUGGAUACAUUUGUUAUAGUCAUAUACUCAAUAAUAUAGUAAUUUUUGUUUAUAUUUUUUAUGAACUGAAAUUGCAAGAAUUAUCAUUUAAUAAGCGAGUUUUCAAUUUUUGUUCUUCAACGGUCGAAUUUAUAUCUAGUAAAAUAUAUAUUCUGUAAAGGAGAAAAGUCAUGUAAGGCAUAAGUUGCGGAUAUUAUAAUGCAAGUAUGUAUAUAUAUAUAUCAGAAAAUAAUUUAUCUUGAACACAAAAAUUAAAAAUUAGCACAAAAUAAGGACAAAAGUGCAAUAUAUGUAUAUAUAUGUGUUAUCAGAAAGCUAUUUAUCUUGAACACAAAAAUUAAAAAUUAGCACAAAAUAAGGACAUAAGUGCAAUAUAUGUAUAUAUAUGUGUUAUCAGAAAGUUAUUUAUCUCGAACACAAAAACUAAAAAUUAGCACAAAAUAAGGUCAAAAGUGCAAAAAUUUUAUACUUUCGCUCUCCCGACUCAAGCUAAUACGUUAAAAAUUAAUGGGAAAAUUAUACAUAAUAGUAAAUAUUUAGCCUGUAUUAGGUGAUAUAGCUAUAGUUUUAGAAAAUUGUAAUUCGCGGCUAUAAUUUUUUCAAUUCUUGCUAUUGACCUGAUUUGUAUAAUUCGCAUAAUUUGUAUAAAUCUAGAAUUUGUAUAAUUCGGUUCCUAAUAGUAAAAAUCUAGAAUUGUGUAUAUGUUUACCCUAGUUAUUUGUAUACGAUUUAUUAUUUAUAAUAAAUUACCUUGUUUGUAUAUCGACAAGCGAAAUAUAUAAAUGGAGUUCUGAAAAAUUCAUAAAUGUAUAAAUACAUAAUUUGUAUAUAUUUAUCCUAUUGGUAUAUUCACAAGCGAAAUAUACAAACGUGCAGAAAUAUACAAACCACAGCCUCCAUAUCAAACAGAACUAUAGCUAUGGAGCGCAGUUAUUAGAGCUUUAUUAUGUUUGCUAUUUCUAAAAUUUUCUCAAAAUUAAAAUAGACUAUGUUUUUCGGUCUUAUUUCAAUAGGCUCAUAUGGUAUAUAAUUUGAAAGCCUAGGUUUUUUUUGUUUUUUUAUAUCAAUAUUCUUUCAACUUAGCCGAUUGACAAUUAAUUAAAUCGAUGACAAAAAUAUUGAUUUCGUAAAUUUGAGUGAUGAAAAUCAAAUUAGAAAAGUAACUAACAAAUGGAAUAUUUUAUGUUAGUGAAUGAAUGAAAUUAUAGGCCUCUUAAUUACAAGAUUUAGAUAAUCUUCUUUCUUUUGAAUUAAUUUUUGAGGUGUGAAUUAUACUCAAAAUAUAAUUUAACAUGACAUUAAAGACAAACCUGAUGUGGGCUCCCAGGAAACCAAACAAUUGCGGAGGUGGAAAUUAUUUUCUAUUCAUGAAUGUGAGCAUGUGACACACCGAAUUGGAUCAUUAUUAUAAUGCAAGUAUGUAUAUAUAUAUAUCAGAAAAUAAUUUAUCUUGAACACAAAAAUUAAAAAUUAGCACAAAAUAAGGACAUAAGUGCAAUAUAUGUAUAUAUAUGUGUUAUCAGAAAGUUAUUUAUCUCGAACACAAAAACUAAAAAUUAGCACAAAAUAAGGUCAAAAGUGCAAAAAUUUUAUACUUUCGCUCUCCCGACUCAAGCUAAUACGUUAAAAAUUAAUGGGAAAAUUAUACAUAAUAGUAAAUAUUUAGCCUGUAUUAGGUGAUAUAGCUAUAGUUUUAGAAAAUUGUAAUUCGCGGCUAUAAUUUUUUCAAUUCUUGCUAUUGACCUGAUUUGUAUAAUUCGCAUAAUUUGUAUAAAUCUAGAAUUUGUAUAAUUCGGUUCCUAAUAGUAAAAAUCUAGAAUUGUGUAUAUGUUUACCCUAGUUAUUUGUAUACGAUUUAUUAUUUAUAAUAAAUUACCUUGUUUGUAUAUUGACAAGCGAAAUAUAUAAAUGGAGUUCUGAAAAAUUCAUAAAUGUAUAAUACAUAAUUUGUAUAUAUUUAUCCUAUUGGUAUAUUCACAAGCGAAAUAUACAAACGUGCAGAAAUAUACAAACCACAGCCUCCAUAUCAAACAGAACUAUAGCUAUGGAGCGCAGUUAUUAGAGCUUUAUUAUGUUUGCUAUUUCUAAAAUUUUCUCAAAAUUAAAAUAGACUAUGUUUUUCGGUCUUAUUUCAAUAGGCUCAUAUGGUAUAUAAUUUGAAAGCUUAGGUUUUUUUGUUUUUUUAUAUCAAUAUUCUUUCAACUUAGCCGAUUGACAAUUAAUUAAAUCGAUGACAAAAAUAUUGAUUUCGUAAAUUUGAGUGAUGAAAAUCAAAUUAGAAAAGUAACUAACAAAUGGAAUAUUUUAUGUUAGUGAAUGAAUGAAAUUAUAGGCCUCUUAAUUACAAGAUUUAGAUAAUCUUCUUUCUUUUGAAUUAAUUUUUGAGGUGUGAAUUAUACUCAAAAUAUAAUUUAACAUGACAUUAAAGACAAACCUGAUGUGGGCUCCCAGGAAACCAAACAAUUGCGGAGGUGGAAAUUAUUUUCUAUUCAUGAAUGUGAGCAUGUGACACACCGAAUUGGAUCAUGAAAUCUCAUAUAAAGAAUUUGGAUUUGUACGGUAUAUAUGAGGAUAAUAAUGAAAGAAAUGUCUCACAUCAAUGAUAAAUAAAAUCCUAAGCUUCGUUGUUCAACAAGUGAAUUCAAAUUUUUAGAUUCUUUAAUAUCUUGAUGUUAAACUAAAAAAUAUUGGUUUAUAAUUACUCUUAAUUAUUUAAUUUUUUGUCGGUUUGCUUCACGGGUGUGAUUAGCAAGGGAUAAUCAUUCAUUUUGUGGCAUGUAUAAUUAAUAAUUACUAGUGUAUUUGUCCGCGCUUUGCGUGUGUAUAAAAAAAUAUUAAAUAUAUUUUUAAAUAAUUAAUGUUAUUAUUUGAUAAAUAUUCUAAUAAAUAAUAUAAUAAAAGGGAGAAACACAAAUUAAGUUACGAUUUUGAUAUUAUCUAUUCAGAAAAAUUGUUAAAAAAGUUUCAUGCUACAGUUUCAAUUUAAAAUUGCUGAUAAAAAGAUGAAAAUAUAAAAUUGAUAUGAAAAGCUUUAGUUAAAUAAACAAUCUAAUUAUCAUAGUUUCAUACUAAAUUUCAUGAUUUUAUAGCAAUAUUAUUGAUUCAACCAUUAAUAUUAAAUCUACUUUAUCGUAAAUUAUGUGACUUUCUUUUUUUGUAUAAAUGACUAUAUAAUAGAAAUAAGAAAAUCAAAAUAUAUUUGUGCUAAAUCAUCGUGAGGGAAAAAAUAUUUGAAUUAUAUUCGAACAUAGUUAUACACAAAAUUCAAAAGUUAGAGAUUUUUUUUCGAUAUCCGAUGCUCAUAGUGACACUCAUUUGAUACAUAUUUGUGUCGCAUAAUGAUAUCCGAUGCACGUAGUGACACUCAUUUGAUACAUAUUUGUGUCGCAUAAGAUCCAUUAAUAUUUUAAUUUAUAUUUAAACUUUCAUUCUUAUAGUGUGCAUUGUGAAAAGAGAUACUUAAGUUGCUACAGUGAAACAUUACCGUUGAGGUUAUACUUUUACAAUAAAAAUUAAAUUAAAUUAAACACAUAAUUUUGUCGUAUUAAGAUUAUCAGAUAGUGAUGAAGAAAUAAUUUUUUUACAAAAGAUAUGAGUAUGUAGUGUUCAAGAUGUAGAAAAAGUAUCAAGAGUUAGAUAAAUUUUUUCAAUUUAUAUAUAUAUGUGGGACAAUAAAAGUUUAACAACAUCAAAAUAAUUAUUCCUAUUAUUACAAUUUUAUUGUUGUAAUUAUUAUAAAUAAAUUGGAGCAAUAACUCUCCAAAAGAUAACUCCAUUUUUUGAUGUGGGAAAAAUAAAAUAUUUUUUUUACUUUCAAUAAUAAUAAAUUUAAACACAAAUUUGUUAUUAAAGGAAUUAAAUGAUGAAAUUUAAAAAAUUUCUUGAUAAAUAAGAGAGUUGAAUAAAUUAUUUUUUAGUAUAUAUAUACACACACUUGAUUAUUUUUAGGGAAAAGGGUCAAAAAUAUUCUCAAUUUUAGUUUAUUAGUUAAAUAUACCCCUAUCGUUGAAACAAAGUUAUUCAUACCAUCACCGUUACUAAUUUCACCAUUUAUACCCCUCAAUUUACGGAAAUUCCUAAAUCAAACAAAAUUGACCCGAUUUCUUAAAAAAUGACUCAUUUUCCAUUUUAAACCUAUGACCGACCCAUCUAUCUAUCUUAAACCCAAAAGAAUUUAACCCAUUUUCUAUACCCAUUCUAAAAAGAAAAUUCAUUUGGAGCUACUUGGGAGAAUGAAUUAUAGGUGACAAAAAAGUGUUGAAAUGUAAAAAGAGUGACUCUAGUUUUAAUUAUUAAGUGUACGUGACAAAUUUUUAAUUAAUUUUUAAAAAUAAUUAUAUAGGUCCUCAAGUUUUUAUUUUUACACUUUCACCCAAAUUUAAGUAAACCCCUAAUUUCUAAAAUAGGAAAACCCCCAAAUCAGUUCUUUUUUGUUCUCUCCCAACGUCCCGCUCUUUUCACAUUUUUUUUGCUUCUAAUCUUCAUCACUAGGCGUGACCUGACUUCAAAGACAUUGUCGAGCAGCACCUAAACACACAAAAAUCGAUCCGAUCUAAGCACUUUUAGACGAGUAUGAUGACUCUACUAAUGGAGGAAAGAGAAGAAGGAGAGUGGCAUCGUGGUCGGCCAUGGCCGUUUCCGAAGCAAACUGUCGUCGCCGGAGCUCGAAGCAGACAAUUGGAGAGAAUCAAAGACAUAGAUUUUACCCAAAUAAUUAUAACAAAAAAAAUUAAACCAAUAAAAGAAAAUUCACAACCCCACCCCCUGUAAUGUCUUCCUCAAAGAUCCUACUCAUUUGCAGAAACAUCUACACACCCCAUCCUUCCCUCUAAUUUUUUUCUCCAAACUCUCCAAUUCCUUUUAGUGCGCACACACCUACACACUAUUUCUUUUUUCAUCAUUUUAGUGUAGUAUCUUUAUUCACUAUUAUUAGAAUUUAACUUUGUAAGGGAAUUGGUGAGAUAGGUAAAUGUGCUUCUCACAAAGAUGUCUGCUUUUUGCAGUCAUGCGAAGAGGCAGCGAUGAUGAUGUUCACUUUUUGAGCUAGCUAACUUUGGAAUCUGGAGAAAAAUAAUUUAAAAGGAAGAAUAAAAAAAGUUUGUAGAAAUGGUGGCUAAAGGGUAAGGAAAAUGAGUUAAAUUAUUUUGGGUUUAAGAUAGAUAGAUGGGUCAGGCAUGGGUUUAAAAUGGGAAAUAGGUCAUUUUUUAAUAAAUCGGGUCAAUUUUAUUUGAUUUGGGGAUUUCUGUCAAUUGAGGGGUAUAAACGGUGAAAUUAAUAACGGUGAGGGUAUAAAUAACUUUGUUUUAACGGUAUGGGUAUAUUCAACUAAUAAACUAAAAUUGAGGGGUAUUUUUGACCCUUUUCCCAUAUUUUUAUAAUGCCUUUAUUUAUAGGAUAACAAUAUAAAAUAUCAAAUGAUAUCAUGAACAUGACUAUUAAUAUGAUUUAAGAGAUAUGAUCAAGUCAUGAAAGUAAGGAAAAUAAAGACAAUUAAAUAUCAAAUGAUAUUAUGAACAUAAUUAUUAAUAUAAUUUAGGAGUUAUGAUCAUCAAAAGUCAUGAAAAUAAAAACAAUUAAAAUUUUCUAUUAAAAAAUAUAAAUAAAUGAAGGAAUAUAAUUGACAUAUUCAUUUUUGUACAACAAUAAGAUAUAUAUAAAUAAGAAAAAUUAUCAAAAAAUGAGAAAAAAAGAAGAUAAAUAUGAUUCUUGGCCAAAAAAAUGUGUCACGUCACUUUUCUUUUAUCUAGAUAAUUUAUAUGUUGGUAAAGAAAGUAGAUUGAGAGAGAAAAACAAUUUUACUAAGUCGUUUAUAUCCUAAUCAAGUCUAAAAAUACCCCUCAUUCAUCUAUUGAGCUAAAAAUACCCCUCCAUCCACCUUUUUGGUCCAUCUCUACCCCUUAAAAACUAACAACUACUUUUUAAAAAUUAUUAUUAUUAUUAUUUGUUACGUGUCAUUUUCUUAUUGGAUAAUUAAAUCUCAACCCAUUUAAUUUUCCCCUACCCACCCAUUGUAGUGAACAUGAUCAAACCCAAUUAGAAGACCCAUUAAAAAUAAUUGAUUGAAACUUUCUCCCCUAACCCCAAGCCUCUUUCUUCUUCCCUCUUUUCUUAUUCAAAAAUUUCAAGAUAAUAUUCAAUCAAAUAAUACAAUUUCCGCUGCAAUACUAACUUGAAGUUGAAGGAUUCAAGGAGUAUUGAUUUUUGCAGUCUUCUUUCCAUCACGUAAAAAAAACUACACCAAAAUCUAUCAAAAUUGCACCUGAGCUAUAACAAAACAGAAGCAAACCUGCACCUAUAUUAUACCACAAACUAAAUCAAAACUGUAAAGAAACAGAGGCCAAAAGGCAAUGAAAGUGCACCAUAAUGAGAUUAAAAACUGGACCAAAAUUUGAUGAUAAACAGCACCAAAGCUGGUCCAAAAACGAAAAUAAAAGUGGUUCAAAUUUACUUUAUUAACGAUGGAAUACAUUACAAUGAAAUUUACGAAUUAUUCCAACUCCUUAAACGUAAGAAUAUUAAUCAAACUAAACACAAUUUCACUAUCAUACCAACAAUAAUAGUAAUUAUAAUUAAGAACAUUAUACUAACUAGACACCAUCAACAAAUUUUCAUAUCAUACACUUAUCUAGAUUGCAUUGGACAUUGUAUCAUUUGAUUGAAAGUAGUCUAGAAAUAUUUUGAAUAAGAAAAGAGGGAAGAAGAAAGAGGCUUGGGGUUAGGGGAGAAAGAUUCAAUCAAUUUAUUUUUUAAUGGGUCUUCUAAUUGGGUUUGGGUCAUGUUCACUACAAUGGGUGGGUAGGGGAAAAUUAAAUGGGUUGAGAUUUAAUUUAUCCAAUAGGAAAAUGACAUGUAACAAAUAAUAAUAAUAAUUUUUUAAAAAAAAGUGAUUGUUAGUUUUAAGGGUAAAGAUGGACCAAAAAAGUGGAUGGAGGGGUAUUUUUUAGCCCAAUAGAUGAAUGAGGUAUAUUUUGUCGAGGGGGUUCGGGUGAACACUCUCCCUCCCUUGAUUUGCUCAUUGAUACUAUUAUUGUUAGUGCAAGAGGAAACUGCUAGGGAAGUUGCCUAUGAUCUAUGUUGGAGCAGAUGGGAUAUAAGAUUUUGAUUUGAUGGGUUCAAUUUUUAGAUUCUCAUCAUUGAGCCCGUUAUACUUUGAAAUUAUGGUGGGUUCAUGAUAUUAUAUUAUUAAUUAAAAUUUUAGUGAUUUUUCACAUAUACUUUUAUGAUCUGUGUCAAAAAUGCAAAGCUUAUACUUAUAUUCGCCAUCCGCCCUGUGUAACUGAACAUAUUACUGUUUAUCUUCCAUGUAGCAGUGAUCCUAAAACCUUUCCUUAUNNNNNNNNNNNNNNNNNNNNNNNNNNNNNNNNNNNNNNNNNNNNNNNNNNNNNNNNNNNNNNNNNNNNNNNNNNNNNNNNNNNNNNNNNNNNNNNNNNNNGUUAUUCAGCUGAAGAGGUUAGUUUUACCUUAGAAUUGAUCUUGUGAACAAGAUCAUCAUAGUUUUGAGAAGUUGGGCUAUGUGCUAUUGGAAAUGGAAUAAAUUCGUAAGGGACAUCAUAUUUCAAAGAUAAGAUGACUUCUUUGAAGACAUCUGGCCCUAAACCAGUUGUAAUUACUGCUUGUGUCGUUGGAUCUCUUUCCACUUUAAUGAAUUGCUCCAGCCCUCCUUUGUCUGGAACUCCAACCCUUAACUUCUUCCCACUUGUGGGUAUUUCCCAGCCUCUCGGAACAAUAGUAGAUUCACCAGGCCAAAUGAUGACCCCUAGUUGCUUAUUAUUAGUUUUAGCUGUUUUACCAUUCAUCUUCAGUUUAUGCGAAAUGCCAUCCUUCUCUGUCCAGAAUCCAACGACUUUCUCUCCUUUCCCGAUUAUAUUCACAAUCUGAUAUGGGUACGGCUGCAGUUCUCUAUCAAUGAUACGGAAAUCACCACUUAGUCCUGGUUUUAGCUCUGUGUUUUGCAUAGAGUCAAUGAGCAGAGAUCCCACUUCUGAGGUUCUAAGUGCAUCUAGGUCUGUUAAGUUCUCUCUAGUGUCUGGUUUCUUUAAUUUUGGGAUAGCAGUAGUGCCCACUUUCUCUACUGCUUCUGCUAAUAAGGUGAUGCUAUCAUAUGCCCAUAGCCCGAAAACAUUGAGUUCUACUUGGUCCAUGUCUGGAUACUCUUGACGAAAUCUCUUUCUCCAUCUCUUGGUGAACAUGUCAAGCUCAUUUGAUCUUGUAACAUAAGAUUUUACACCCAGAACACCUUGCAUUGAUGACUCAAUUACUGAAGUAUCUACCAGGUUCCAUAGGGGCUUUCCUCAUAGAUUACUACAACCUCCCUCCAAUUAUAGUUUUUAACAAUUGCUGCAAUGGCUUUAGUCUGACUGGAAGAAGGAAGUGCUCCUCUGAUGAAGAAGGGAUUUUCCUUGACUGUAAGUAAAGGACUUGUUGCUGGAGAAAUUAUAGGGACUUUUACUCUGUUCCCUAAGUCGAUCACAAAAUCAGUUUGAGUAGACAUUUGUGGCCCAAAGAUAGCUUGCACUUGGACAUCCUUUAGCAAGUAUAUGGCUGCACAUACACAAUCAGACUUAUAAGUAAUUGUCUGAACAUCUNNNNNNNNNNNNNAAAUUUAUUUGUGAAAUUUGCAUAAAUAGCAAUCUUUUUUAUUUUAAGAUGAGUGGAACUUUUUUUUUUUUUGGCUUUUUCUAAUUGUUAAUCUUAUAUAUUUUUUAAAUUUAUUUGUGAAAUUUGCAUAAAUAGCAAUCUUUUUUAUUUUAAGAUGAGUGGAACUUUUUUUUUUUUUGGCUUUUUCUAAUUGUUAAUCUUAUAUAUUUUUUAAAUUUAUUUGUGAAAUUUGCAUAAAUAGCAAUCUUUUUUAUUUUAAGAUGAGUGGAACUUCUUCUUUUUUUUUUUGCCUUUUCUAAUUGUUAAUCUUAUAUAUUUUUUAAUUUAUUUGUGAAAUUUGCAUAAAUAGCAAUCUUUUUUAUUUUAAGAUGAGUGGAACUUCUUCUUUUUUUUUUUGCCUUUUCUAAUUGUUAAUCUUAUAUAUUUUUUAAUUUAUUUGUGAAAUUUGCAUAAAUAGCAAUCUUUUUUAUUUUAAGAUGAGUGGAACUUCUCUUCUUUUUUUUUUUUUGCUUUUUCUAAUUGUUGAUCUUAUAUUUUUUUAAUUAAUUUUUAUUUGUGAGGUUUGCAUAAAUAGCCGAAGAGGUUCAAACCCACAACUCUAGCAUGGGAAAGCAUUCCCAAGACCCCUUCCUUACCACUAAGCCAUCAAUUAGUUUUGCUAAGGGGUUCACAAGUUAAUAUACAUAUAUAUUUAUUUAAUUUUUUAAUACAAGUAUAGAGUUUACAUAAAAGCUAUUGGGUUCGCCCGAACCCCCACUAAGAUAGGCAUAAAAGUAUCAAUACAUUUAUUUUUAUGAAGGUAAAUACCAUUAGAUGUAACUUUUCAAGAAUGAAAACAUGUAUUAAAACAAAACUGAAAAGAGUAAUAACAUAAGUGAGAAAAAAAGACAAGAAAUGUAGAGAGACAAGAGAGAGUUUUCUUAUUCUUCCAAGUAUAUUCAAGUGUUUUCCAAAUCUUCAAGUGCAUAAUACAAUCUCAAGACCUCUAUUUAUAUUGUUAUAAAAAGACAUACAAAGAGAUAACAAUAAACAUGAUAUUAAUUUUUGAGAAUGUAGGGAAGAUCAAGGGGUGUAGAAGAUAAAUGAGGAGAUGGUGAAGGUGUGAGUAUUAUUACAUAUAAUGGUGAAAUUACACCUUGAAGUUAUGGACAUCCACAUUAAUAUAAUAUAUUUACAACAAAACAUUAAUUACAUAUAAAUUAUAACUAAAUUAAAAAUGAUGAGAAAAACAUAAAAAUGCCCCCAAAAAAGGAGAAAAAAAUUAAAUAUGAAUAGAGAUCAUAGAGAGGUGUCACGUCACUUUGUCUAUAUCUAGCUUUAUUUUUAUUUUAUAUAUAUAUAUAUAUAUAUAUAUAAGAAUAGAGGUCAUAGCCUAUAUCUAGCUUUAUUAUAUAUAUAGAUUUUUCUUCAGUUUUUGUUGGUUUUCUCUUUUUAAAUUUAUUUAUGUAAUACGUAAUAAUAAUAAUAAUAAAAGAGCCUUAUUUUCCCCCAAUUUUCAUUGGUUUUUUCUUUUUUAAAAUUUAUUUAUGUAAAUAUAUUCUUUUUAAAAUUUAUUUAUGUAAUUUUAUUUUUUUUGGAAUAUUUUUAUAUCUAUUAUAUUUUUAAUAGCUCAAAAAAUAUUAAUUCAAUUGAAUGAAAAGAGAAAAUCGGGUUAUUUUAAUCAAAAUUGAACAAUUUGAGUUGAUUUGGGGCUUUCCGUCAAAUGAGGGGUAUAUAUGGUGAAAUUAGUAACGGUAGGGAAAAAACUAACUUCACUUUAACGGUAAAAGCAUAGUUUACCAAUAAAACAAAAUUAAGGGGUGUUUUUGACCCUUUUCCCUUAUCUUUUUCAUAGGUAGCAGUGGAUACUGGAUACAUUUGUUAAAGUCAUAUACUCAAUAAUAUAGUAAUUUUUGUUUAUAUUUUUUAUGAACUAAUGAAAUUGCAAGAAUUAUCACUUAAUAAGCGAGUUUUCAAUUUUUGUUCUUCAACGGUCGAAUUUAUAUCUAGUAAAAUAUAUAUUCUGUAAAGGAGAAAAGUCAUGUAAGGCAUAAGUUGCGGAUAUUAUAAUGCAAGUAUGUAUAUAUAUAUAUCAGAAAAUAAUUUAUCUUGAACACAAAAAUUAAAAAUUAGCACAAAAUAAGGACAAAAGUGCAAUAUUUGUAUAUAUAUGUGUUAUCUGAAAGUUAUUUAUCUUGAACACAAAAAUUAAAAAUUAGCACAAAAUAAGGACAUAAGUGCAAUAUAUGUAUAUAUAUGUGUUAUCAGAAAGUUAUUUAUCUCGAACACAAAAACUAAAAAUUAGCACAAAAUAAGGUCAAAAGUGCAAAAAUUUUAUACUUUCGCUCUCCCGACUCAAGCUAAUACGUUAAAAAUUAAUGGAAAAAUUAUACAAAAUAGUAAAUAUUUAGCCUGUAUUAGGUGAUAUAGCUAUAGUUUUAGAAAAUUGUAAUUUGCGGCUAUAAUUUUUUCAAUUCUUGCUAUUGACCUGAUUUGUAUAAUUCGCAUAAUUUGUAUAAAUCUAGAAUUUGUAUAAUUCGGUUCCUGAUAGUAAAAAUCCAGAAUUUUGUAUAUGUUUACCCUAGUUAUUUGUAUACGAUUUAUUAUUUAUAAUAAAUUACCUUGUUUGUAUAUUGACAAGCGAAAUAUAUAAAUGGAGUUCUGAAAAAUUCAUAAAUGUAUAAUACAUAAUUUGUAUAUAUUUAUCCUAUUGGUAUAUUCGCAAGCGAAAUAUACAAACCACAGCCUCCAUAUCAAACAGAACUAUAGCUAUGGAGCGCAGUUAUUAGAGCUUUAUUAUGUUUGCUAUUUCUAAAAUUUUCUCAAAAUUAAAAUAGACUAUGUUUUUCGGUCUUAUUUCAAUAGGCUCAUAUGGUAUAUAAUUUGAAAGCCUAGGUUUUUUUUGUUUUUUUAUAUCAAUAUUCUUUCAACUUAGCCGAUUGACAAUUAAUUAAAUCGAUGACAAAACUAUUGAUUUCGUAAAUUUGAGUGAUGAAAAUCAAAUUAGAAAAGUAACUAACAAAUGAAAUAUUUUAUGUUAGUGAAUGAAUGAAAUUAUAGGCUUCUUAAUUACAAGAUUUGGAUAAUUUUCUUUCUUUUGAAUUAAUUUUUAAAGUGUGAGUUGUACUCAAAAUCUAAUUUAACAUGACAUUAAAGACAAACCUGAUGUGGGCUCCCAGGAAACCAAACAAUUGCGGAGGUGGAAAUUAUUUUCUAUUCAUGAAUGUGAGCAUGUGACACACCGAAUUGGAUCAUGAAAUCUCAUAUAAAGAAUUUGGAUUUGUACGGUAUAUAUGAGGAUAAUAAUGAAAGAAAUGUCUCACAUCAAUGAUAAAUAAAAUCCUAAGCUUCGUUGUUCAACAAGUGAAUUCAAAUUUUUAGAUUCUUUAAUAUCUUGAUGUUAAACUAAAAAAUAUUGGUUUAUAAUUACUCUUAAUUAUUUAAUUUUUUGUCGGUUUGCUUCACGGGUGAGCAUGUAUAAUUAAUUACUAGUGUACUUGUCCGCGCUUCGCGUGUGUAUAAGAAAAUAUUAAAUAUAUUUUUAAAUAAUUAAUGCCAUUAUUUGAUAAAUAUUCUUAUAAAUAAUAUAAUAAAAGGGAGAAAUACAAAUUAAGUUACGAUUCUGAUAUUAUCUAUUCAGAAAAAUUGUUAAAAAAGUUUCAUGCUACAGUUUCAAUUUAAAAUUGCUGAUAAAAAAGAUGAAAAUAUAAAAAUUGAUAUGAAAAGCUUUAGUUAAAUAAACAAUCUAAUUAUCAUAGUUUCAUACUAAAUUUCAUGAUUUUAUAGCAAUAUUAUUGAUUCAACCAUUAAUAUUAAAUCUACUUUAUCGUAAAUUAUGUGACUUUUCUUUUUUUGUAUAAAUGACUAUAUAAUAGAAACAAGAAAAUCAAAAUAUAUUUGUGCUAAAAUCAUCGUGAGGGAAAAAAUAUUUUGAAUUAUAUUCGAACAUAGUUAUACACAAAAUUCAAAAGUUAGAGAUUUUUUUUCGAUAUCCGAUGCUCAUUUUUUUUUUGAUAUCCGAUGCACGUAGUGACACUCAUUUGAUACAUAUUUGUGUCGCAUAAGAUCCAUUAAUAUUUUAAUUUAUAUUUAAACUUUCAUUCUUAUAGUGUGCAUUGUGAAAAGAGAUACUUAAGUUGCUACAGUGAAACAUUACCGUUGAGGUUAUACUUUUACAAUAAAAAUAAAAUAAAAUUAAACACAUAAUUUUGUCGUAUUAAGAUUAUCAGAUAGCGAUGAAGAAAUAUUUUUUUUUAAAAAAAAAUGAGUAUGUAGUGUUCAAGAUGUAGAAAAAGUAUCAAGAGUUAGAUAAAUUUUUUCAAUUUAUAUAUAUAUAUGGGACAAUAAAAGUUUAACAACAUCAAAAUAAUUAUUCCUAUUAUUACAAUAUUAUUGUUGUAAUUAUUAUAAAUAAAUUGGAGCAAUAACUCUCCAAAAGAUAACUCCAUUUUUUGUAUGUGGGAAAAUAAAAUAAUUUUUUUACUUUUCAAUAAUAAUAAAUUUUAAACACAAAUUUGUUAUUAAGAGAAUCAAAUGAUGAAAUUUAAAAAAUUUACUUGAUAAAUAAGAGAGUUGAAUAAAUUAUUUUUUAGUAUAUAUAUAUAUACACACACACUUGAUUAUUUUUAGGGAAAAGGGUCAAAAAUAUCCUCAAUUUUAGUUUAUUAGUUAAAUAUACCCCUAUCGUUGAAACAAAGUUAUUCAUACCAUCACCGUUACUAAUUUCUCCAUUUAUACCCCUCAAUUGACGGAAAUCCCUAAAUCAAACAAAAUUGACUCGAUUUCUUAAAAAAUGACUCAUUUUCCAUUUUAAAACCAUGUCCGACCCAUCUAUCUAUCUUAAACCCAAAAGAAUUUAACCCAUUUUCUAUACCCAUUCUAAAAAGAAAAUUCAUUUGGAGCUACUUCUCCAAUUGCGUUUUAGGUGACAAAAAAGUGUUGAAAUGUAAAAAGAGUGACUCUAGUUUUAAUUAUUAAGUGUAGGUGACAAAUUUUUAAUCAAUUUUUAACAAUAAUUAAAUAAGUCCUCAAGUUUUUGUUUUUACACUUUCAUUUUUUGGAGCAAUAAUUUUGUUNNNNNNNNNNNNNNNNNNNNNNNNNNNNNNNNNNNNNNNNNNNNNNNNNNNNNNNNNNNNNNNNNNNNNNNNNNNNNNNNNNNNNNNNNNNNNNNNNNNNNNUGACUUCAAAGACAUUGUCGAGCAGCACCUAAACACACAAAAAUCGAUCCGAUCUAAGCACUUUUAGACGAGUAUGAUGACUCUACUAAUGGAGGAAAGAGAAGAAGGAGAGUGGCAUCGUGGUCGGCCAUGGCCGUUUCCGAAGCAAACCGUUGUCGCCGGAGCUCGAAGCAGACAAUUGGAGAGAAUCAAAGACAUAUAUUUUACCCAAAUAAUUACAACAAAAAAAAUUAAACCAAUAAAAGAAAAUUCACAACCCCCACCCCCUGUAAUGUCUUCCUCAAAGAUCCUACUCAUUUGCAGAAACAUCUGCACACCCCAUCCUUCCCUCUAAUUUUUUUCUCCAAACUCUUCGAUUCGUUUUAGUGCGCACACACCUACACACUAUUUCUUUUUUCAUCAUUUUAGAGUAGUAUCUUUAUUCACUAUUAUUAGAAUUUAACUUUGUAAGGGAAUUGGUGAGAUAGGUAAAUGUGCUUCUCACAAAGAUGUCUGCUUUUUGCAGUCAUGAGAAGAGGCAGCGAUGAUGAUGUUCACUUUUUGAGUUAGCUGACUCUGGAAUUUGGGGAAAAUAAUUUAAAAGGAAGAGUAAAAAAAGUUUGUAGAAAUGGUGACUAAAGGGCAAGGAAAAUGAGUUAAAUUAUUUUGGGUUUAAGAUAGAUGGAUGGAUCAGGCAUGGGUUUAAAAUGGGGGAUGGGUCAUUUUUUAACAAAUCGGGUCAAGUUUGUUUGAUUUGGGGAUUUCUGUCAAUUGAGGGGUAUAAAUGGUGAAAUUAAUAACGACGAGGGUAUAAAUAACUUUGUUUUAACGGUAUGGGUAUAUUCAACUAAUAAACUAAAAUUGAGGGGUAUUUUUGACCCUUUUCCCAUAUUUUUAUAAUGCCUUUAUUUAUAGGAUAACAAUAUAAAAUAUCAAAUGAUAUCAUGAACAUGACUAUUAAUAUGAUUUAAGAGAUAUGAUCAAGUCAUGAAAGUAAGGAAAAUAAAGACAAUUAAAUAUCAAAUGAUAUUAUGAACAUAAUUAUUAAUAUAAUUUAGGAGUUAUGAUCAUCAAAAGUCAUGAAAAUAAAAACAAUUAAAAUUUUCUAUUAAAAAAUAUAAAUAAAUGAAGGAAUAUAAUUGACAUAUUCAGUUUUGUACAACAAUAAGAUAUAUAUAAAUAAGAAAAAUUAUCAAAAAAUGAGAAAAAAAGAAGAUAAAUAUGAUUCUUGGCCAAAAAAAUAUGUCACGUCACUUUUCUUUUAUCUAGAUAAUUUAUAUGUUGGUAAAAAAAGUAGAUUGAGAGAGAAAAACAAUUUUACUAAGUCGUUUAUAUCCUAAUCAAAUACUUUUGCAUUUUGAGUUCAGACCAGGUCAUAGCAGUAAUUUCUGAAAUUUCAAAAACUUAAGAACUUAUAACAAUAACAAUAAAAAAAAUUAAAAUAUGAAGAUCACAAAGUUACGUAUUAAUAGUUAAAAAAAAUUUAUGAAUUAAACUGUAUUUUGAAAAUUAAUUAACUUUAACAUUCUCAUAUUCUAUCAUUCAUCUAUUGGGCUAAAAAUACCCUUGAAGUAUUAGAAAAGGUCUAAAAAUACCCCUCCAUCCGCCUUUUUGGUCCAUCUCUAUCCUUAAAACUAACAGUCACUUUUAAAAAAAUUAUUAUUAUUAUUAUUUGUUACAUGUCAUUUUCUUAGUGGAUAAAUUAAAUCCCAGCCCAUUUAAUUUUCCCCUACCCACCCAUUGUAGUGAACAUGAUCAAACCCAAUUAGAAGACCCAUUAAAAAAUAAAUUGAUUGAGAUUUAAUUUAUCCAAUAGGAAAAUGACAUGUAAUAAAUAAUAAUAAUAAUAAUAAAAAAUUAAAAAGUGGUUGUUAGUUUUAAAGGUAGAGAUGGACCAAAAAAGUGGAUGGAGGGGUAUUUUUAGCCCAAUAGAUGAAUGAAUGGUAUUUUUAGACCUUUUCAAAUAAUUCAAGGGUAUUUUUGGCCCUUUUCUGUAAUUAAUAAAAAGUUGAUCCACAUAACUAUAAAAUUAUAUCUACAUACUUUCUUCAGUAGCAUACAUAUACAUGUAUAAGGGUGUAUAAAACCGAAUCGAAAACCUAACCAAACCGCAAACCGAGUCAACCCGGAAAAAAAACCCGAACUAGUGGUUUGGUUUUUGAAAAAAAAAACCCCGAACUAUAUUUGGGAUUGGUUUGGUUUUAACUAAAAAAAACCAACCCGACAUUAUAUAUAUAAUUUUAAAAUUUUAUUUUAUACAUAAAAAUAUUUACUUUGAUAUAAUUUUUAAAUAUUUCUUAUACUUUUUCAUAAUUUUUUAUCUUUUAUUAUAUUAUUUCAAGUUUUGAAACUUAGAAUUAUGAAUGGGCCAAUAAAAAUUAUAGUUCACAGAUGUUGGUAAUUGCCUAAUUAUAAUAAAGCUUAAAUCAAAAUUAAAUUAAUACUAAUGCAAAAAUAAAAUCAUUUCAACACGACAAUAAUAUUGAAUAUUUGUUCUUUAGUUUUACAUUGGUUUAGACAAUUAAAAUACAUAACCUAAUUUAAUUUCCUUUAAAUAUUUAGUCAUGUAACUAAUACUUAUUAAAUUUAUUUUUAGCAUGCUUUAGUACUUUUAAAUUAUGAUCAUUUUCAUUAUGACUUGUUAAUUUGCAAUAUUUGUUUUACACGAUUUCAUUAUUAUUAUUAUUUUUGUUGGAUAUUUUAGUGUCAUUAAUCAUAUUAUAUUGUAGUAUAUUUUUAAGAAACAUCUUAGAUAGUUGUAGUUUGGUAUGGCUAAAGAAAUAUUUGAAGUACAAGUAAAUUAUAUGUUUGUAUGAAUACUUUACCGAAACAACCCAAAAAACCGAAAAAACCUGAAAAACCCAAGGUUGAAAAACCCGAGUUUUAUUGGUUUGGUUUAUAAAUAUAAAAAUCCAACACAAAUGGUUUGGUUUGAUAUUUGAAAAACCCGAACCAACCCGACCAUGUACACCCCUAUACAUGUAUAUGUUAACUUCUUAUUCUACUUUGUUGAAUUAUAUCCUCAGCAUAAGUAGUGAAGACAAAACAAAGUAAUAAUAAAAUGACGGAAUGACCUGGGAGACCCAUGUACUUAGCUCCGUUUGUAAGUUGAACCCUCCUACUUAUCAAUUUGUCAACUGAACCCCUAAACCCAUCAGAACACAAUAUUUUAAACCCAUUUGACCAUUAACCGAACUUAUGUAGCAUUGAUAAUGCUGAGUUGGAAAAUUACGUAAUUACAUACGUUUGACAGUGAGUAAAUAAGGUAUUUUACAUUAAAAAUAUUUAAAUAAUAAUAAUCAAUUUAAAAAAAAUAAUUAAAAACCCAUCUUCCUCAACCAUCCCUCUCCAACCCCACUCCACCCCUCUCUCCUCCGUCCGAACCCAUAAACUCAUCAUAACACAAUAUUUUAAACCUCUUAGACCAUUGACUGAACUUAUGUAGCAUUGAUAAUGCUGAGUUGGGAAAUUACGUGAUUACAUGCGUUUGACAGCAAGUAAAUAAGGUAUUUUAAAUUAAAAAUAGAGUAAAGACAUAAAUACACCAUCAAAGUUGUCCCGUAUUUUCAUAAUGACACCUUAACUUUUAAAGUGUCCUAUCACACCACAGAACUAUUUAAUAUCUUUGUAAAUGGGCCAUUUUGACCCAUUCCCUCGUCUAUUUAGUGGCGCGUGUUGCUCACUCCCUAUGAUGAGAAAAGACCCGACCCGACCCUGUUCUUUGAAGAAAGUCAUUUCUCCUUUUCUUUUCUUAUUUCUCAACUUUCCCUAAAAUCUAAAGAAAUAGAAAAGUUUUCUCAACAACUUUAAGUAUGAGUGAAAUAGGUCUAAAAAUAGAGGAGAUUAGAUAAAGGAUUCAAUCCAAUUACUUUGGAAGUGGGUCCUGAAUCUUUGUUGCAUCAUUGCAGCUUCGAGGGAUCCUAAGUUUCCAUACACUAAGAACCAUUGAUUCUUAGGUGAAGUAAUACAAUGGCCGGUUUAAAACACGGGGCAAGAUCUAGUACAGGUGUAAGGGUUGAUUAACAUAUUAAGCAUGCAUGGAUUAAUACUUCUCUACACCGCAUAGAAUCUCAAUUUCCAGGAGCACACAACAUGAUGGAAGCGGAGCCCUCCCCAUUGGACAAAAUGAAAAAAUAAAUGUUAAUGCUGUUAUACCCCAUUUUAACUCGAGGUCAAAACGGUGUACGACAUUUUGGUGAUUUCCAAAUUAAUUAACUUAAGAAGUCGCCACCUAAUUAAUUACGGUGAAUUAGGACACCUAAAUAUUGAACUAAGUAAUACUAAAAUGACUUCAAUUAAAAGGUCUACUAAACUUAAGAUUCUAGGUAAGGGUUCUAAUUAUCCUAAAGGGAAGGGGUAAGGCAUCCUUUAAGAUCCAUUAAAGACGGUUACCGGCCAAACUUAGGUUAAUUAAUUUUAAAAGAAAGAUAUGAGUGUUAAAUAUUAAGUGAUUGAAUAACCAAGUUGGAAAACAUUUUUUACUUUAAAAGCACUUUUGCAAUUUAUUAGAAUGAAAAAGAUUUAAGAAAGAGUAAUUUCUUUAGAUCAAUUUAGACAAAUUCAUGGCUAAAAAAAGUAAUUAAAAAAAAAAAAAAAAAAAAAAAAGCAUUUGCUCAUUAACCGACAAGAUGCUCUCUUUAGAAAAAGUUUAAGAAAAAUAAGAGUUUAGAACAAUAUAUUUUUUCUUUGAAAGAUAUUGCCAAGUUUGAACAAAACUUAAUAAAUUAGUGAGUUUAAAAUGGUGCAAAAGAAGUGUUUUAAAAAAAAAAAGCUAAAGUAACUAUAAAGGUUGUUUCUAACUAAAGGUACCCAAACCCAAACAUCUAUAUUAAGUCAACUAUUAUGAAUCCGAACUAGAAAUAUAUAAAUCACACAAGCAAGUAUAAAUUGAAAGAAAACACAAACAAAUAAUGCAAAAUGUAAGUAGCGAUAGGUGACUCCAAGAUAGGACCACUUGUUUUGCUUGCAAUUUCGAAUGGUCAAAGAUGUAGUGAAGAUUCCAUGUGCGGGUGUGAGGAUAAUGUUGAGUCUAUGAGACUCGGUAAUUUGCUAGAGUCUUGAAUCAAAGACUCCAUUUUGCUCCAAAGUGUACAUGUAAAUAAAGAGAGGGUAAAAAAGAAUUGGUAAGACAAUUAAACCUUACUCGAUAUCGAAUAAACUAGAAAUAGAAUUGAGUUAAAUAGCAUAACGAAAAUACCAUCCAAAACAUGAAAACAUGCAAAUGCGAAACAAAUCUCAAAGCAAACUACUACGACGCCUUUAAGGCACAAAAAAAAACAAUACACAACCCCUCAUAUUUAAGCUACAAACGAACUACUCGUUAAAGACUUGAAUUUAAAAAAAAUACUUAUGCCAUAAGUUUUCCAGAUUUAUACAUGCUGUAAUACUAUUACUUAAACUAAAAAAAAUAAAAACAAAAUACAUACACAAUACAAUUAACAAAAGAGCACAAAACAUAAGUUAGUACUUGUAUGCAAAAAGUAAGUUGCACGAGAAUUCCUACAGACGUAACUCUUAAUAAGAGAGCACUUAGUUGCUAACCAUUUUUUAUAUAUUUUACAGUCAUCUUCCUUAAGCAUGCUAUACAUAGGAAAAUAUGAACAUUGAAAUUUUAACAUAUAAGCACACGAAAUAAAUCAUUUAAACUGAGAACGAAACAGCAACAACACAACCCAUAUAAAUCGAACUAUGAGACUAAGUCAUUAACAAAAUAUUUAAAUCCAAAGCUAAGCCAUUCUUUAAACUCAAGGUCUAGUAAAUGAGGGGAAAACAAUUUCUGAUCUGUAUAAAUCUCAAAAGGAUACAAACACAUUUUUUAACAAUCAACAUAUAAUAAUAGCGAACUAAAUAAUAUUAGUUCGAGUAGAAUUUGAGAGAAACUUAAAAGCUUAUAAGAUACAGGGUGCGAAGCUGCUGUAGUGUAUCCGCGAUUAGAGCUUAUAUUUUUUUAAAAAAAUAAUGAUAUGGUCUGUACCAUAUUUUAACUAAAACAAAACAAAUAUUAUAUUCCUUGAACACGUUUUUACAUAGGAAUGCAUACAUAUAUCAAAUGAUCAGAACUUGGAGUAAGAAUUAAUGUAUAUGACCUAAAAUACAACCAUUUCCAUGUAAUAAAUAAAUUUAUAUCUCAAACGAAAACACAAAUACAAUUAUCAAAUAACUUUGAAUACAGUUAAACUAGGCAGGAAUUACUCUCUACAUACAAAUUUGUUAGAGUAACAUAACAUUUUCCCACAGAAACAAAACAGAGGAAGAAAAAGAGAAUGUCACCUGCUAUAGGGCAGUGAACGGGGCUGUUUCGAUCAAAUGUCUAUAUUCGAACAAUAACGAACUCAAGGAAGCUUGAAACUUGAGUUUCGAUCGAGAUUUAAAGAAGGAUGCAAAGACAAUAUUUUAGAAAAGAAAAUAGUAGUUAAACAAUGCUAUGGUGCAAGGAAAAGCUUUUUAAGAAUGAAUGCCAAGGCUUCUAUGGAGGCUGAAAAAUCCUCUUUUUUUUUUUUGCUAAAGAUAUAAGGAUGUAUUUAUAGAAAAAAUUAGGGUUCUUCAUUGUGUUGAGCGGGAAUAGAUUUUGAACUUUCAAAUUAGUCAAAAAGUCUUCAAAUCCGACCGUUUGAAGCUUGAAACAGACAUCACGUGAUACCUUGGAGAAAGAGACAAGUUUUGCUUGGAAUGGACCAAGCAAAGUCUGUCCAUGGCUGAAGAGAAACGAAACUUUAGCCAAAAAUGGAGGAGAAAAGACAGACAUCGAGUAAAGAGAAAAGACCUAAAUGAUUUCGGGUCUUGAGCCAUUUUACUGAUGAAUGAACAUUGGGUUGGGCUGGUGCUAAAUUUUCUUUUGUGGGCUGAUCUGAAAGUUCCGUUGGGCCAUAUUUUGGAGUGGAUUUGGGCUCGUUUUGCUGGACCAAUUUUGGGCUGAAUUUUGAAGGUCUUUUCUCUUCUUUCUUUGUAUUAUUUUGGGCUUCUAAAUUAAUAAUUAAUACAAUAUCUAUUAUGAUAUGAUAACAACUAGAAAUUUACAUAAUAAAAAUAUCACUAAUAUAAAAUAUAUAUACGAAAUAUUAAAUAAUAAUUAAUUUAAUAAAUACGAAACUAGAAAUAAGAUGACGACAAUUGGUUAUUUAAGAAAAGAGAUGUAAAAAAGUGAUAAUAAUCAUUUCGAUAAUAAAAACCUAUAAUUUUAGUAGAUUAAUAGUUGUAAUAGUAAAAAUAGUUGUGAAAAGAGAUAAUUCGAUACAUUAUUAAUUUAGAAGCUUGAAAAUGAUAAAUUAGAAGAAAGGAGGGUCAAAAUUGGGUGUCAACAAUGUUCCCUUUGUUGUUUUCCUAAUAUUGGUAGUUGAGAUAUUGUUAGGAUAUUAUAGUUUUUCGUUGUUACAGGUUGAUCUUGCUUGGAAAAAACCAUGAAAUCAAAAAAUUAGGGCUAUUUUGGGUUUAAAAUUGGGGAAGAUGACAUAAAUUGAUUAUAUAAUUAAUAAUAAAGAAAGCUAAUGACACGUGGCACUUUUAAAUUGGUCCAUGGCAGUGAAAGCACGGAAUGACGCGCCUCACGUGCAUGGUAACAACCCAGACGAGGGAAUGGGUCAAAAUGGCCCAUUUACAAUGAUAUUAAAUAGUUCUGUGGGGUGAUAGGACACUUUGAAAGUUAAGAUGUCUUUAUGCAAAUACGGGACAACUUUGAUUGUGUCUUUAUGUCUUUUCUCUUAAAAAUAUUUAAAUAAUAAUAAUCAAUUUUAAAAAAUAAUUAAAAACCCAUCUUCCUCAACCAUCCCCCUCCCACCCCUCUCUCCUCCGUCUGAACCCCUAAACUCAUCAAAAUACAAUAUUUUAAAUCUCUUUGACCAUUGACCGAACUUAUGUAGCAUUGAUAAUGCAGAGUUGGAAAAUUACGUGAUUACACGCUUUGACAACGAGUAAAUAAGGUAUUUUAAAUUAAAAAUAUUUAAAUAAUAAUAAUCAAUUUUAAAAAAAUAAUUAAAACCCAUCUUUCUCAACCAUCCCUCUCCCAUCCUACCCCACCCCUCUCUCCUUCGUCUGAACCCCUAAACUCAUCAGAACACAAUAUUUUAAACCCCUUUGACCAUUGACCGAACUUAUGUAGCAUUGAUAAUGUUGAGUUGGAAAAUUACGUGAUUACACACGUUUGACAGAGUAAAUAAGAUAUUUUACAUUAAAAAUAUUUAAAUAAUAAUAAUCAAUUUAAAAAGGAUAAUUAAAAAUGCAUCUUCCUCAACCAUCCCUCUCCCACACCACCCUACCCCUCUCUCCUCCGUCCGAACCCCUAAACUCAUCAGAACACAAUAUUUUAAACGCCCUUGACCAUUGACCGAACUUAUGUAGCAUUGAUAAUGUUGAGUUGGAUAAUUAUGUGAUUACACGCGUUGUCAGCGAGUAAUAAGGUAUUUUACAUUAAAAUUAUUUAAAUAAUAAUAAUCAAUUUUAAAAAAUAAUAAUUAAAAACCCAUCUUCCUCAACCAUCCCUCUCCCACCCCACCCCUCUCUCCUCCUAUUUGUUUUUUUUUUUCUAAAAAAAAUUUUGGGCUUUGCCCGAGGAGAUGUAUGGGGUGCAAUUGUCUCUCUUUCAAGUUUAUUAAUAAAAAAAAAUACCACAAUUGUUUUAAAAAAAAAAAAAAAACACCACCCCUCUAUCCUCCGUACCCCCCCCCCUCCCCGCCUCUCCUCUUCUUCUUCUUCUCUUGGAAUUUCAUCCACCACACUCACUCUCCUUCAUCCACCUCCUUCUUAACCCACACUUCUUUUUCAUUACAAAUCAACCGUCCACCCUAACCACUUAGUCUAAAAGUCUUUUAGAUUCUAGCUUUUUAGUCUAAAAGUAUUGAGAUAUUAUUAGUUUUAUUUGGCAUCAAAAAAGAGGUCUAAGUAUGGAUUAACACGAAAGAUAAUGGUGGAUAUUGAAAAAUUAAAACUCCAUUGAUAAGUUAGAGAAAGCUUGAAAUUUAUAAGAUAUAUUAGAACUAUAUAAAAAAAAAUAUCACAUAUACCAAUCAAUUGUGUAUACUACAAACAAUUAUACUUCUCUUUCAAAAUUUAGUUACUCAAUAUUACUUGCAAGUUUUAGUAGCAUCUAUAUCAUUUAAUUUUUUUGUACUAAUUAACACAGGACACACAUGCAACGCACGUGCCUAGAGACUAGUUUAUAUAUGUACAUAAACUUAGAAAAUAUAUCCAAUAUAUACAUCUUAAUUUUUUGUCGAGGGGGUUCGGGUGAACACUCUCCCUCCCUUGAUUGGCUCAUUGAUACUAUUAUUGUUAGUGCAAGAGGAAACUGCUAGGGAAGUUGCCUCUGAUAUAUGUUGGAGCAGAUGGGAUAUAAGAUUUUGAUUUGAUGGGUUCAAUUUUUAGGUUCUUAUCAUUGAGCCCGUUAUACUUUGAAAUUAUGGGUUCAUAUUCUAUUAUUAAUUAAAAUUUUAGUGAUUUUUCACAUAUACUUUUAUGAUCUGUGUCGAAAAUGCAAAUCUUAUACUUAUAUUCGCCAUCCGCCCUGUGUAACUGAACAUAUUACUGUUUGUCUUCCAUGUAACAGUGAUCCUAAAACCAUUCCUUAUUUAUGAUCUGUAACUAUGGUCGUUAUCUGCUAAUAGCUUCGGAUGUUCUUGUCCUCUAGGCUAGUUCUUGGACCUGCAUUAUAAAUUCACUACUACUAUAUCUUUCUUUCUUAUUGCAUUUGGGAUUUGCAGAUUGCUCUUUGUUAUCAAAACAUUGCACAAAUCUCUCAUGUGGUCAUUCACAUAUAACCCCAUUAUUUCAUAUUCUAUAUAAGAAUUAUGUAAUCAAAAAUAAUUUAGCAUCUUAUUUGUAGAUUUUGUUCUGUUAUUGUAACAUAACAAAACUACCUCAUUUGAAUUUCUUGAAAACGGAUGCAUGUAUUGAAUUCUUUCAUGCCACACAUAUUUCUUUAAAUUAUUCCAAACAUAAGUACAACAACAACAACAUAAGUAGUGAUGAAAAAACAAAGUGAACAUAAAAUUGCUAAAGAAACAACUAAGAAAAAGUAAGGGUUGAAUCCAUCUAAUGGAAUCCUGGAGGCCACCUCUUGAUGCUAAUACAAAGCGCUUUCAAUGGUGAUGAAAGAGGAUUAUGGCCAAGAGUGACAAAGAAAUAGUGUAAUCGGAUUUAACUAACCCUAAAGCUAGCUCAUCUCUGUACAAUCUCUUGUAGGGCCCUAUUCAGGUGUGCCACAAUUAUGUUAGCAGCUAUAUAUCUCAUCUUUCUUCAAUUGUGCCUGACAUUGUUUCAUGAACUGGAGUUCCAGGUUCUGUUGUAGAGAACCCUUCAGAAGCAGGGGAUUCUCCUAGGCCAUCGGAGAUUCCGAUUUCUGGGCUUUCCAAAGGUAGGUUGGGCGAUAAUUCAAUAGAAGCAUCACUUUCUGCAAACACUGUAGCCGUUAGGCUUUCAUUCCCUUCAGAUGGCUUUUUUGACAUAGAAUUAGAGUCGUCUCUCUUUAAAUCAAAGACUUUUGCUAUUGCACAAAGCUUUUUUCCUAUUGAAUCAUCAGUGACUAAGAUUUCUCUAUUCUGAUAAAGGAAGAUGAGGAAGAAUAGGAGAAGAGAGGAGCCUGCUGACACACCAUCUUGCUUUGGACAAUCUGUUUCAAUAUCUUUCUGUGGACAAUCUGUUUCAUUCCCAAACCAUUUCUGAAUUAUGUUAUUCAUAGUCUCUCCCUCUAUCACCUUCAAGACUGCUCUUGAGACGUCAGGUACCAAAGGAGAUCCUUUUGGAAAUGCCUGCAACAAGUUGUGGGAAAAUUAAAGAUUAGAUCAUUGAGUAAACCACUAACCACUCUAAAACAAAUGUUAACACUUGCUGAAACAUCAGUUAAGUACAACAAUCUUACAAAUCCAAAGCCGGCAGCCUUGUAUGUCGGACCAACCAUAAUAUACUUCCUGCAGUAUUUGUUCAGCAAGAGUCUGAGAUAAGGUAGUUCAUCAACAAUUGCACCAACACCUCCAUUUUUACUACCUCUUGAGAGUGCAUCAUUAUACUCUUCCAAUGUGCUGUAACUCCUAAAUUUGGAGCUGUCAAAUUUCAUGCGUGUCAAGACGUCUUUGACAAAGGAACCUUUUUUAUCAGCACAAAUCUUGAUAAGUUACUUGUUAUCUUCUCUUCUGCAACAACCAGUCAUAUAUAGGAUUUGUUGAGAAACAAGGAGAAAUCUUAAACUUUUGGUCUAUAAUUUGAUUUGAGUUAGAGACUUACUAUGAGCAAAAACGAGAGUUGAGAAGGAAAACCAAAAUAUUAUCCCAACUUGCUUGCGUUUGGGUCCUCGAAAAUCUUUGUUUACACGAUGUUCGAGUACCCAAACCACAAAACCAAUGAAGACGAAGAAUGCUCCGGUUGCUAUCCACAGCUCGGCCUUUAAAGGUUUCAAGAAGAUCCAAGCGUUCUUCCUAUCAUCAUUCCUUAAAGGCACAACUGCAGAAAUACCCGACUCUGAAUAAGGUAAUGUGAAAUCUACAUACUCAGAUCGGCUUGCUAAAAUGGUAACAUCACCUACAACUGCAUCAUAUUCCUGGUUCAAGCAAACAUUGAUUAUUUAAGUAUUUAUUGUUGGUCGCUAAAGCAGAACAUAGAUAAGAAGUCCAAAAAAGGAGCAUGUAAGUGAGUUAUUCAGCUGAAGAGGUUAAUUUUACCUUAGAAGUGAUCUUCUGAACAAGAUCAUCAUAGUUUUAAGAAGUAGGGCUAUGUGCUAUUGGAAAUAGAAUAAAUUCGUAGGGGACAGCAUAUGGCAAAGAUAGGAUGACUUCUUUGAAGACAUCUGGAACAAAACCAGUUACAAUUACUUCUUGUGUCGUUGGAUUUGUUUCCACUUGAAUGAAUUGCUCCAGCCCGUCAGGAACUCCGACCCUUAACUUCUUCCCACUUGUGGGUAUUUCCCAGCCUCUCGGAACAAUAGUAGAUUCACCAGGCCAAAUGAUGACCCCUAGUUGCUUAUUAUUAGUUUUAGCUGUUUUACCAUUCAUCUUGAGUUUAUGCGAAAUGCCAUCCUUCUCUGUCCAGAAUCCAACGAUUUUCUCUCCUUUCCCAAUUAUAUUCACAAUCUGAUAUGGGGACGGCUGCAGUUCUCUAUCAACGAUACGGAAAUCACCACUUAGUCCUGGUUUUAGCUCUGUGUUUUGCAUAGAGUCAAUGAGCAGAGAUCCCACUUCUGAGGUUCCAAGUGCAUCUAGGUCUGUUAAGUUCUCUCUAGUGUCUGGUUCUUAAUUUUGGGAUAGCAGUAGUGCCCACUUUCUCUACUGCUUCUGCUAAUAAGGUGAUGCUAUCAUAUGCCAUAGCCCGAAAACAUUGAGUUCUACUUGGUCCAUGUCUGGAUAUUCUUGACGAAAUCUCUUUCUCCAUCUCUUGGUGAACAUGUCAAGCGCAUUUGGAGUCCAGAAAACUCGUUAGCACAUCUGUGAUGAUCCAUGCAUAUCCACUGCUCAUCAUCCCAGCUUCUUUGGCCUUGAGGAAAAGGCGUGAGGCAAGAUAUGGUUGUAAGUGCACAAUGAACACUGUGGUUUGCUUUGUAUUCAAAUUGUGUAACUCCUUGAGGAUUUGAUCAUCACUGGCUGAAGGAGAAAUAGCACUUUUAUAGGGGACUAAAGUGUUGAUUUCCAGUAAGGCAUCAGUCAGAUGUGGAACUAUCCCAGUUCCAAUGGAGCUAUCCUCGUGGAUGAUUACAACCUUCGUCCAAUUAUAGUUUUUAACAAUUGCUGCAAUGGCUUUAGUCUGGCUGGAAGAAGGAAGUGCUCCUCUGAUGAAGAAGGGAUUUUCCUUGACUGUAAGUAAAGGACUUGUUGCUGGAGAAAUGAUAGGGACUUUUGUUCUGUUCCCUAUGUCAAUCACAAAAUCAGUUUGUGUAGACAUUUGUGGCCCAAAGAUAGCUUGUACUUGGACAUCCUUUAGCAAGUAUAUGGCUGCGUAUACACAAUCAGACUAUAAGAAAUCGUUCCAAAGUGAAAAACAGACGAAAAGAGAGAAUGAUAUGCUAGUUUAACAGAAGUAAAUCAUGGAUCAGAAUAUACCAGCGGAUGCUGCUUCAACAUCAUCUUUCUUUGAAUCCCUGAUAUGAGGAACUAUCCUUAUGGCACCGCGACUAGUGUUGGCAUGAUAAUCUGCAAGAGCUAGUAAGAUAGAUAUGUGCAUUACUUUUCCCACAUCUGUUUCCAGAUCAAGAAUUAUGCCCACAUCCACCUUUACAGCACUAGUGUUAUUAUCUUCACCUCUUAUUCCAAUUACAUAGUGGCAAAAGCUAAUGAUGGAAACAAGUUGAAUGAAAAUAAUUAGGAAUUUGCAUCUUGGAUUAUGCAUUUGAAAAACUCUUGUAGAAAGUAAUAUGAGUGUUGGGCAAGAAGCAGUUGUGCUUGUGCAAGAUUUAUAACCACCAUUCAGAGAUGUGUUUAAAGGUAUCUUAACUAUAACUUUUCUACAAUUAAAUGAGAGCAAACCUCAUAACUGCAGAAAGAAAAGUCAAAGUUUUCAAAGAAUUACAAAUGGUUUAAAAUAUACUAGUUUGAUUAUUAAAGAAAGAGUACUUUGCACACUUGUUAGACCACAAGCUAGUAAAGCCUCCUCAGUUUUGACCAAAUCAAUAAAUGACUAAAUGAACAUAGUGACAAAAUUGAUUUGUACUCAUUCUCCCAAUACCCAAAGAAGUUUUUGUAUUCAUUGGAUGACUAUCUAGAGGCUACUAAAAGGACUUCCCAUAUUUUGGCUAAGUCAUGUUGAAAGUUGAGUGCUAACUCAGUUACAAAUAAGUAGAAGAGGUCAGUUUCUAUGACUUGGACAUUGGAAAAGGGCAGCUAUGACUAGUAAUCUUUAGUUUACUUAGACGGUUUCAGUUUAGAAUUGGUCAGUAGUAUAAAACUUUAUGGUGGUAGAGGCACAACUUGUAGGGUUGUUCCGGGUUAUCGUUAAUUAAAAAAUCAAAUCAAACUUGUAGGGUUGUUUGGUUAGGUUUUAAAUUUUGAAAAUCAAUACUAUUUGGUUUGGUUUGGUUUUAAAACUGUAAAAAUAAUCAAAUUGAACGUGUAAUUAUAAUAAUUCUAGUAUUGCUUGAUUGAAUCCACAGUAACUUUCAUGUGUAUUGUUCAUGUACUAGGUGUCUGUGUUUAUAUAUAUGUCUUCAAAAAAAUUAUUACUUCCAAAACAAAAAAACAAAAAAAUUGAACCAAACCGACAAUUAUUUUUUUCAUUUGGUUUUAGAAUUUAGAAACCGACUAAAUUGAUCUGGCUUUGAUUUUAGCCAAUAAUCAAUCCAAAUUGAACCAUGAACACCUCUAGGCACAAAUAUAACUUGGUAUGUGAAGAAUUACUAUAAUACCUUUCCUUUAACUUUUUUUUUUUAAAAAAAAAUCUCCAUCCUCCAUUUUUUUCCCUUCACUUUUAAAAAAAAAAAAAAAAACCUCUAUUGGGAAAUUUUUCAAAUCAGUUUUUUUUACUCAUGAGCUCUAUUCCUUUCCCUUUUAUAUUUUUUAUAAUAUAAAAUAUAAGAUAAAAUAAAGAAUUUUUUUAAAAAGAAAUGAGAAAAAAAAUGAUGAAGAUGAGGGGUGAGGAGCUAAAGGAGAGAAGAAAGAUAGAACAUAAGAUGAGAAAGGUAGGGUCCCCAUAUUUUCUUUAUCAAAAAGUAACUUCUUACCUACCAAAGUCAUAUUUAUGCCUCUACCACCACAAAUUUUUUCGUAUUAACUUGCUUGCAAGUUGCAAAACCAAACAAAGCAAGCAUACCCAAAUGGAGAUGGAAUCUUGGAAUGAGGAUGGUUGGGUAUACAUGUAGGUGUCAAUGUCAUUGUCUCAAUAUAUAUAUAUAUAUAUACUCCCUCCGUCCCAAUUUAUGUGGCACCCUUUUUUUUUAGUCUGUUCCAAAAAACAAUGUCAUCUUACUAUAAUUAGAAACAAGGGAAAAGACUCAAAUAUGCUAUUGAAAUUUGAGAAAAGACUCAUUUAUGUCAUCCGUUAAAAGUUUGGUUCAUCUAUGUCAUUUUCGUUUGAGAAAAAACUCAUCCAUACCAUUAGUUGUUAACUAAAAAUAAUUUUGGUUUUGUAAGAUCAUUUUAUACACAUGGUCAAUUAUGAUUCGGCCAUGUCAUCAAUUAAAUCAUUUCUAUAGAAGAGAAAAUGUUCAAAUAUGUCAUCGAACUUUGAGAAAAGACUCAUUUAUGACAUCCGUUAAAAGUUUGUCUCAUCUAUGCUAUUUCAGUUAAUAAAUAAUGGCAUGAAUGAGGUUUUUCUCAAAUGAAAAUGGCAUAGAUGAGCCAAUUUUUUAACGAAUGACAUAUAUGACAUUUCUCAAAGUUCGAUGGCAUAUUUGAGUUUUUUCCCUAUAAACAAUUUCACUUAAAAUUUACUGUUAUCCUUAAUGAAAUUAUUUACAAACACACAAAUAUCUAAGGAUUGUUUUAGAUCACAAGUUUAAAAGUCUUUUUAAAAUAUAUAUAUAUAUAUAUAUAUAUAUUGUGUCAAGUUAAACAGUGCCACAUAAAAUGAGACAGAGAGAGUAAUUGUUAAUGUAAGAGGAAGCUGCUCGGGAAGUUACGUGUAUGAUGUUGAAGUUAUUUGACAUGCAGUUGAGGUGAUCCUAUAAUCUUCCAUUAUUUAUGACUAGUAAAAUCACUGAAUUUAUAAAAUAAUACUUAAAACAUAUGAGUCAUUAAAACUAAAACACUAUAUUAUCUUACAUAUAAGAUUACAUAUAACAAACAUUAAUAAUGUAAGUAAUUUCUUUUUUGCAUAUGUUAACAAAUUUUUGAAUUUCUUCCUGAGACAUAUAUCACAAUUGUAAAAUCUAUACAACUUAAAUGUGUUCUUGUUCUUACGAAACGCCUUUGUGUAUAUAUAUUCUUAUUUAUUCUCUCUUUUUUCCUUUUAAUUGAUGAUUAAAUAACCAUUAAUUUAUUAUUUCCUAAAUAAUUCAUUUAUUAGAUGUUCUUGAGUUAUGUGAUAAUGACAAAUAAUAGUAUAGAUCUUUAAGGAAUUUUUUUACUGUACCUUCAACAAUUUCAUGAUCAGUAGAGAAAACUUGCAUGAAUACUCAAUUAACAUGUGUUGUUUAAUCUGUACUAACAAAUACAAUUAACGUGUGUUGUUUAAUCUGUACUAACAAAUACUUAUAACAAUAACUUUGCAGAAACAUAAACACAAGUUUAAAACAUGUACUCAAAAACAAUAAUUAAUAACAUAAGCAUAAAUUAAUGACUGUAAAAAAAUAUACCAGGAUCUGUAAUAAUAGGAUGAAACAUAAAGGAAAAAAUUGUACACGAAUAUUUAAUUGUGCAGGUUAAGAAGAAGUUCAAAAUUUUCGUUUUUUUAAAAUGAGAGGAAAUCACUCUAUUUAUAGCUAGACAACAAAGGGUAGUGUGAGCAAAUGUUUAUUGUGUCUUAUCGGAAAGGUCACAACUCUUUGGAAAAGUUACAAACCCUUUGGAAAGGUCAUAACCUUUCAUAAAAGACACAACUUUUCAUAAAAGUCGCAACUCUACAUAGAAGUUACAACUUUUCAUAAAAGUCGCAACUGUUCAUAUAAGUCGCAAUUUUUCAUAAAAGUCACAACUUUUCAUUAAAGUCGCAAAUUUUUAUAAAAGGGGAAGGAUAGUUUUGUAAAUAUAUUAAUUAAAAAAGGAAUCCUGGUUUGUGAUGGCGCCACGUAGGCAGGCCUAGGGUUCUCUUUUAUAUAUAUACUAGUUUCUGAACACGUGCGUUGCACGUGUUUCAAACAAGUAGUAUACACGAUAAAAGUUAUAUUAAAACCAUAGUGUAAUCAAUAACGAAAAAAAGGUACAAACUAAAAUUGAUGAACGUAACACUCAUCCAAUUUGAAUGACUUAUUCGUUUAGCGAUAAAUAAUUAAUUACUAUCAGAACUACAAAAUUGAAUAAUUAUAUUUAGUUAGAUAAGUAAAAUGUAUAAAAUGAGUCACAUUUUAAUGUUAUUAGGUGCAAAUAUUUUAUUUAUAAAGAAGUAUUAGUAUUAAAUAUUUGCACCUAAUAACAUUAAGUAUUAAAUUUCAAGACAUAAUAUUUGAAUAAUGAAUUGUGAUGCUCAUACCAAAUAGCAAAACAAUGAAUCUAGAAAAUACUUUUAAAACAAAAAAACUUAGAUAUGAUAUUUAAAAUAUUUAAAACUUCUUGUUAAAAUUUACAAAAACGCAAAUAAUAUAUGCUUAUUAAGAAUUUAAAACUAAUUGUUAUAAUCUUAACAAUUGUGCAUGGAAACAAAAGCACCCAAAACAAAUGAAAUUCCAAUACAUGUGAAAUCAAAGUAUUGUAAUUCUAAGUAACUAAAUAUGCCAUGCAUACUUCUCAUCUCUUCUUUUAUGCAAACUAUUAGAAGGCAUAAAAAAACAAUGAAAAUCGAAGAUAAAAUAAUUUGCAUUCAAUCUUAAAAAGUUACAAAGAGGAGAUGGGGAAAAUUAGUAAAACUCAUUUAACCUUUAUAUAAUGUUUUUCCCAGUCCUUUGAAAUUUCAUUUCAUUUAUUUACUAAUGAAUUGAUUUACUAAUUAAUAUUCAAUUCAACUUUUCAACUUCUUUGUACUUACUGUAGCAAUGAAAGGUUGGCUAUUGGUUAACGUAACAAUUAAAUAAUUGAACCACCAAUGUUUCAUAUAAAGUUAUGGUUAUUAUAAGUAUUAAAUGCAAACAUUUUCUUUUUAUUGUAUGAAAUGCGUGUAUUUGUAUUUUUAUAUUAUAAACUUUUUGAAAUAAUAGUUGCUUGAAGGUUAAAAUGAUGUUUAACUUUUAAUAGGCGAUUUGGUAAUUCAAUUUUUCAUUUGGAAAGUUUCUACUUGAUAUAAUAUGAUAAUGAUCAAAAAUUUAAUAUAAAAUGAAUAAAGCAAAGAAUAAACAGGGAAAGAAAGAAAGAUGAUUGUCAUCAAUCCCUAUUAAAUCAUUGAAUUAAGUGUGAUAAUUAAAGUAUUAUUACUCCACUUUCAAAUCAUCCGUUCAAUUCAUGUUAUUGAAAACUAAUUUAAUUGAAGAUUUAUUUUAAUUAUGGUGUAAAUAAAAAUUAGUUUAUAAAAAAUGAUUUAGUAUAAGGGCAAAAUGGUAAAUCAACUUUGAAGACAAGAGCUUCCCACUUUUAAUAAUACUAGAAGAAAAAUGUGAAUUACAUGGAGAUUUUUUUCUUGGAAUUAGUAUCAAAAUUCGCAGAUAACUUAUUUCCUGCAAAUUUUCAUAUUAAUCCCCAGGAAAAUCCCCAUGUAAUUCACCAUUUUCUUGUAGUGUUGUACCAAAUUAUAAUAAAAUAACAGUAAAGAAAAUAGGUUGUACCCUGCUUCUUGCACUUAACUUUAUCCCACGAACAAUAGACAGAAAGGUGUCAUAUAAUCCUUACAUAUCACUAUCAAACCAAAUUCUCCCAACUGACAUAUUCUCCCACAACAAUAUUAUAUUCCCUCAAGUCCAAUUUUCAUCAGUGACUCCGUUUCUAAUGUUUUCCAAUUCACUUUUUCGACCUCCUUUUCACUAUUCAUUAUAUAAUAAUUGAUAUGAAACAACCCACAAUGUAAACAAGAUUUAAGAGACGUGAUUGAUUUACUUGAGUCGCUCACGUUCUUCUUUCGUUCACGCCGCUUUCUGUUAUUCUUCUUUUCCGUUCUUUCCCUUUUCUUCUACAGAUUAUUUUCACCCUAAUUAUUAUAUGACUAAUUAUAAGAGUGGUGGAAUUGGCUCACUACUAGUUUUAAUGCUAUCUUCUUUAACCACCAACUACAUUAAUUAUUAAAACUACCCCACUAAUUUCAUAAUGUAAUUACGAAUAGUCCAAAAUACCCAUUUAGAAUCUAUCGAACGAGUCUUUUAUGAAAUAAAAAGAUCUAGUACUCAAAACGACUAAAUGGGUCGUUACACAAUGUAACUCUUUAACUUUCAAAAUGAUAGGAGGUGAAAAGGUGAAAACAUUUUCUUUUUCAAUGAAUACAUUCAUUAUACUAAUAAUUCACCAUUUAAUAAACUUCUACCUAAAAAUGUUUUUUAGCAUAAAACAUGUAGGAAGUAAUUUUAAACAGUAAAAGGUAAAGGGUUAAUUAGUUUCUCAUUUAAUUAAUUCGAUUCAUUUAUUAGUAUAGGUAAAUUUAUUAUUUAGUACCAAGUAGUAUAAGAAUAGUAUUAAGAUGAAGGGUAAAAAUGUAAUUUGAUUUUUUAGGAAUAUUUUGUAAUUCAAUUUUAUAAGUUUUGGGGCUUCCCACUUAAUAAUUAUUAUUUAUAAUAAUAAAAAAAAUUUGACUUAACACCUUUCCAUUAUUAUUAUAGAUUAUAGAUGAUAAAUAUUAAUAAAUUAGAUAUUUAAUUAGGAAUUAAUCUUAGGAAGUCUAAAAGUCAUUUAACAUUUUUAAUUUAAAACUUAUACAAUCAAAUAUUUAAAUAUUUUAUAACAAUUUAAUUAAUAGAAGGGGUAAAACUGUAAUUCAACUUUCAACUUUUUUUGUUCAUGCUUAUAGUAAUAUAUAUGAUAUGAUAUAUAUAUAUAUGAUUAUUUACUGUGGUCGUUUUCUGAUAUGAUCACAAUAAGAUAUAACCGUCUAUUAUCUUUUAAACUUGUUUUUCUUUUUAGUUUGCAAUAUAUUUUGGAUUGGUAACAUUAGUAGUAUUAAAUUGUUAACAGCACUAGUUUGCAAUAUUUUUGGUUUCUGCAAACAUUAUUAGCACAUAUUGAAAGAGAUAUAUAUGAUAUGGUUUCAUUGAAUUAUAUCCUCUACAUAAGCAGUGAAGACAAAACAAAGUACUAAUGUUAUUUAAAUUGUCUCUAAAAUUUUGAUGAUUUAAUAAACUUUGAGAUCUAAAGAACGACCAGAUUCCAAGAGAGAUUGAGAGUUCUGUUUAUGAAAAAAACAGCGGUCUAAAAGCAGCAACACCUGCUGUGGUUGGUGCACGUAUUUUGCAGCAGACAUUCAGCCAAUGGCAGGGCAUUGCUUCAAGAGUUUGGGUCCAUCCUAUAAUACACCUCUUUGACAUUGACACAAACUCAAGUUUUUGCAAUAUAAAAAUUCAUAACAGCAAAAGUCAUUCUCUCAAGGAAAUAUUUCUCGAUAAAUGAUAGAGUUAUCAUCGUUCUUAGGUGUUUUUAGGGCUUAUAUUUCUGUGCUUAUACUUGUAAGAUUUAUUCCUACGUUAUAAAGGAAUCAGAUCAUUUGAAGUUUUUUCUGAGUAUUCCGAGUUAUAGCUAGAGUUAGUUAUGUUGUAUUCUUGAAUUCAAGAUCAACUAUAGCUAGUUGAUUUAGUGGGUCAUAGAGUUAUUGCUUAGUUUUUGAGUAACAGAGUUGUUACUAUGAGGGGAAGGGAUUAAGAGUUUAAUUCCUAGGCUACAAGGGUUUGUAAUAUGAAGCUUUGCACUUUUGAUGAUAAUGGAGUUGGGUUAAAUCCUGUGAGACAGACCGUGGUUUUUCCUCCCUUGAACAAGGGGCAUUCCACGUAAAACUCUUGUAUUUGUUUUACUUUGUGUUAUUUAUUUUCCACAAUUUUUCUUUCAAGGGACUUGGUCCAUUGACCAUUAGUGGACGCAUACAUUCUAUGAGUAAUAAUAAGAUUGAAAAAGAAACCACUAAGAAAAAGUAAGGGUUAAAUCCAUCAAAUGGAAUCCUGGAGCCACCUCUUGAUGCUAAUAUUCUGGCCAAGAUCAGUAACAAAGAUAUAAUGUAAUCUGGUUUAACUAACCCUAAAGCUAGCUCAUCUCUGUGCAAUCUCAUAUAGGGCCCUAUUCAGGUGUGUCACAAUUAUGGUAGUAGCUAUAUGUGUCAUCUUUCUUCAAUUGUGUCUGUAAUGGUUUCAUGAACUGGAGUUCCAGGUUCUGUUGUAGAGAACCCUUCAGCAGCAGGGGAUACUCCUAGUCCGUCGGAAAUUCUGAUUUCUGGGAUUUGCGAAGGAAGGUCAGGCAAUAUCUCAGGAGAAGCUUCACUUGCUGCGAGCAGUGUAGGUGCAUUGCUUCCAUUGCUUUCAGAUGGCUCUUCUGACAUAGAAUUAGAGCUGUCUUUCUCUUCAUCAAAGACUUUUGCAAUUGCAGUAAGCUUUUGCCAUAUUGAAUCAUCAGUGGCUAAGAUUUCUCUAUUCUGAUAAAGGAGGAUGAGGAAGAAUAGGAGAAGAGCGGAGCCUGCUGAAACACCAGCUAUGAGGAAAAGUCCCUUAAAACUAUCUAACGUGAGGCUAUCAGAUGUUAUUGCCGUUUCAUCUUUCUGUGGACAAUCUGUUUCAUUCCCAAACCAUUUCUGUAUUAUGUUAUUCAUAAACUCUCCCUCCAUCACCUUCAAGACUGCUCUUGAGACGUCAGGUACCAAAGGAGAUCCUUUUGGAAAUGCCUGCAAUAAAAGAUUAGAUGAUUGAGUAAACAACAAAUCAUUCUAAAUAUAUAUGUUAACAGUGUCUGAAACAUCAGUGGAGUGUACAAUCUUACAAACCCAAAGCCGGCAGCCUUGUAUGUCUGGCCGACCAUAAUAUACUUCCUGCAGUACUUGUUGAGGAAGAGUCUGAGAUAAGGUAGUUCAUCAACAAUUGCACCUACACCUCCAAUUUUUUGCUUCCUCUUGAGAGUGCAUCAUUAUACUCUUCCAAUGUGCUAUAAUUUCUGAACUUGGAGCUGUCAAAUUUCAUGUGCUUUAUGAAGACGUCUUUGACAAAGGAACCUUCUUGGUACCCAACAUAUUCUCCAUUCUUGAUGAGAUCAUUGAGGUCUGUUAUAGUAGGUUGGAGCUGUUGCAGUGUCAACAUAGAUGUUAAGCUGGCUGUAUAACUUGAUGUCAGCACCAGAACCACAAAAACCCACACAAUCAGCAAAAAUCUUGUUAAGUUACUUGUUACCCUCUCUCCUGCAACAACCAGCCAUAUAUAUGAUUUGUUGAGACACAAGGAAAAAUCCUAUAUCUUUCGUAUAUAAUAAUAUGCUUUGAGUUAGUGUCUUACUAUGAGCAAAAACGAGAGUUGAGAAGGAAAACCAAAAUAUCAUCCCAACUUGGUUGCGUUUGGGUCCUCGGAACUCUUUGUUUACACGAUGUUCGAGUACCCAAACCACAAAACCAAUGAAAACGAAGAAUGCUCCAGUUGUUAUCCAAAGCUCGCUCUUUAGAGGUUUCAAGAAAAUCCAAGCAUCCCUCCUAUCAUCAUCCCUUACCGGCACAACUACAGAAAUACCUGACUCUAUAAAAGGUAAUGUGAAAUCCACAUACUCUGACCGGCUCGCUAAAAUGGUCACAUCACCUACAACUGCAUCAUAGUCCUGGCUCAAGCAAACAUUGAUUAUUCCAGUAUGUAUAGUUGAUUGUAAUAGCAGAAAAUAGAUAUCGAAGUCCCAAAAAGGGCCAUGUUAGUAAGAUAUAGAGCCAAAGAGGUUUAUUGGAACAGAGAUUAUAUAUUACCUGAGAGGUGAUCUUGUGAACAAGAUCAUCAUAGUCUGGAAGAGUGAGGGGAUCUUGUAUUGGAAAUGGAAUAAAUUCGUAAGGGAGAGCAUAUGGCAAAGAUAGGAUGACUUCUUUGAAGACAUCUGCACAGAAACCAGUUGCUGUUACUGCUUGUGUUUUUGAAUCUCUUUCCACUUUAAUGAGUUGCUCCAGCCCUCCUUUGAGAGGAACUCCAACCCUUAACUUCUUCCCACUUGUGGGCAUUUCCCAGCCUCUUGGAACAAUAGUUGAUUCACCAGGCCAAAAAAUGGCUCCUAGUUGCUUAUUAUUACACUUAACUGCUGUUUUACCAUUCAUCUUCAGUUUACACGAAAUGCCAUCCCUCUUCGUCCAAAAUCCAAUGUUUUUCUCUCCUUUCCCAAUUAUAUUCACAAUCUGAUAUGGGAUUGGCUGCAGUUCUCCAUUGAUGAUACGGAAAUCACCACUUAAUCCUUGUUUUAGCACUGUGUUUCGCAUAGAGUCAAUGAGCAGAGAUCCCACUGCUGACGUUCCAAGUGCAUCUAAGUCUGUUAAGUUCUCUCUGGUGUCUGGUUUCUUUAAUUUUGGGAUAGCAGUAGUGCCUACUUUAUCUACUGCUUCUGCUAAUGAGGUGAUGCUAUCGUAUGCCCAUAGCCCAAAAACAUUGAGUUCUAUUUGGUCCAUGUCUGGAUACUCUUGACGGAAUCUCUUUCUCCAUCUCUUUGUGUAGUUGUUAAGCUGAUUUGAUCUUGGAAUGUAAGGUUUUAUACCAAGAACACCUUGCAUUGAUGACUCGAUCACUGAAUGAUCUACCAAGUCCAGAAGACUCGUUAGCACAUCUGUGAUGAUCCAUGCAUAUCCACUGCUCAUCAUCCCUGCUUCUUUGGCCUUGAGAAAAAGGCGGGAGGCAAGAUAUGGACGCAAGUGCACGACGAACACCCUUGUUUGCUUUGUAUUCAUAUUGUAUAACUCCUUGAGAAUCUGAUCAUCAUUGGCUGACGGAGAAAUAACACUUCUAUAGGAGACUAAAGUGCUGAUUUCCAGUAAGGCAUCAGUCAAAUGUGGAACUAUCCCGAACCCAUAGGGGCUAUCCUCAUAGAUGACCACAACCUCCCUCCAAUCAAAGUUUUUAACAAGUGCUGCAAUGGCCUUAGUCUGGCUGGAAGAAGGAAGUGCUGCUCUGAUGAAGAAGGGAUUUUCCUUGACUGUAAGUAAAGGACUUGUUGCUGGAGAAAUGAUUGGGACUUUUACUCUGUUCCCUAAGUCGAUCACAAAAUCAGUUUGUGUAGACAUUUGUGGCCCAAAGAUAGCUUGUACUUGGACAUCCUUUAGCAAGUAUAUGGCUGCACAUACACAAUCAGACAAUAAGAAUUUACCCAAAGUAAGAGUUUAAUAGAAGUGAAUCAUGGAACUGAAUUUACCAGCAGAUGUUGCUUCAACAUCAUCUUUCUUGGAAUCCUUGAUAUGAGGAACUAUCCUUAUGGCACCGCGACUAGCGUUGGCAUGAUAAUCUUCAAGUGCUAGUAAGAUAGAUAUGUGCAUUACUUUUCCCACAUCUGUUUCCAGAUCAAGAAUUAUACCCACAUCCACCUUUACAGCACUAGUGUUAUUAUCUUCACCUCUUAUUCGAACCACAUAGUGGUAAAAGCUAAUGAUGGAGAUAAGUUGAAAUGAAAAGAAUUAGAAAAGUGGCAUCUUGGAUUAUGCAUUUGAAAAAACUCUGGUAGCAAGUAGUCUGAGAGAUGGGCAACAAGCAGUUGUGCUUGUGCAAGAUAACCACACAUUCAGAAUGACAAUUUUCCUAUAAUUAAUAAGACCAAACUCCAUAAAUGAAGAAAGAAAAGUCAAAGAACAAAUGGUUGAAAAUCAAGUAUUCGUUUGAUUAUUGAAAGUGAGGACUUUUCACAUAUGCUACAACCGCACAGCUAGUAAGCAUAUUACCCCUCAGGUUUGACUAAAUAAAAAUUUGACAAAAUUGAUUGGUACUCAUUCCCCAACACCCAAUUACUUUUUGUGUGUACUAUCUAGAGGAUAUAUUCAAGGGAACUUACAUGAAUUCAACUAAUUUAGGAGUUAAUUACUUAAAUACAUUGUAGUUUGCAAUAUUACGUAUUUUACUAGAUUUUGGUAUGUCCAGAUACAUUCAGAUACAUAUAUGUGAGGUUACUUAGGAUCAAAAUUAGGUGUAAUUUGCUCUAGAUGCAUUGUAUCUAAGUGACUUUGCAUGUAUCUGGGAUACAUAACAAAUCUCGCUCGCCUCUCUCCCAUCUCUCACUCUCCUAUGUAUCUGAUAUUCCAUAUACAUGUGAAUCACACCAGAUACAUACACAUAAAUGUAUCUUAUGUGUAUAUAGUGUGAUUCGCAUGUAUCUGGGAUACAUAACAAAUCCCGCUUGCCUCUUUCCUCAUCUCGUUCCCCUAUCUUCCUAUUUUUGUGUAUCUGAUGGCAAAAAUUCAUGUAGCCAAAUGUAUUUUCCUCAAUAUAUGAUAGGAAACUCUUAAUUAGUGAUAGUAUACGAAAUAUUUUAAAAGUAUAGAAUAUAAUAGUAUAUAUGAUAGUGAAGUAUGUCUAAUGAUAUAGUUUUUCUGUAUUGAAAGGACUUCCCAAAUUUUGGCUGAGGCAUAAAAAGUUGACAAAUUUAGCUCAGUUACAAAUUCCACAAUUAAACCAAUAAGUAGAAGAGACCAUUGUUUUCCAACUUGGACAAGGCUAGAUACGACUAGUAAUCUUUAGUUUACGCGUUUUCAGUUACUAGUCUUUGGACACGUGCGUUGCACGUAUAUCCCAUAUUAUAUGGUUGCAUAAUAUAUGUCUAUAGUUACAAAUAUAUGUAUAAAAAAAAAUUGAUUGUGAUAUAAAUUGGAAAACAUGUAUAAGAUAAGAAAUCAAAACAGAUACCCUCAAAUUUCAAACUAUAAGCAUAAUAAGAAUAUGUAUUUCUAAUGAGUUUAAUCAAUCAUACCUUGCAAUAAUCUCUGCAAUUCAUUGAGAAACUUUCAAUCCAUACAUCAACAUUCAAUCGUGUAUAUAUAAAGAAAACUUGAAAUGCAUAACAACAAUUAUAUCUAUAUUUUUUAAAACACUAUAAAGUCAUUUUUUCUUUUUGCAUUAUAAUAUGGAUUGCACACAAUUUCUAUUAAAAAAAAGAAAGACAAAAUUAGGAAAAAUCGUAUCAAUAAAUUGGAAUGAAAAAUGUAAAAUUGUAAUAAGAGGAAGAGAAGAAAAAUACAGUAGAAUAUAUUACCUAACCAUGAAUAAGGAAGUAUGUUGAGUAAAAGAAGAGUAAUGCAAAAGUGUGAACUGAUAUAUGGAGGAAAUUGACAAAUAUAAUAAUCUAUAUUGAAUAAUGAAAAACAACUCUUCAAUUUCUGCAAAAAUUUUAUAACUACGAGCUCAAAAUAAUAUAAAUUUAUUAAUUUAAUAAAUGACAUAAAUAAAUAAAUAACAUAUAUUGUGUGUAUGUGUAGUUAAUGGGGUAGUGAAAAAGACUCUUUCUGAAAUUAUUUUUAUCUCUUUAAAGUAAUUUUGAACUUUUGAUAUUAGUGCUAUAGAAAAUCAUAUAAAGUCAUAAGCCACUGCAAGUUUUUAUAGUAAUUAUCUUAUUAAAUUAUAUACCUAUUAUUAUUUUUAAUUAUUUAUAAUCAUUCCGAAAAUGUAUAAAUUAAUUUUGAAAAGCUUGUAAAAUGAGAAAUUAUUAUUUCUUAUCAUUAUUUUAGCUAUUAUUAACAUUUAGUAUGACAACAUUUUAAAAAAGCAGCUUCCUUUAAAUAUUAAUUGUUUCUAAAUUAACAUAGCCAAGAAUUUAAAAUGUUGUGACGUUUUGUUUAUCUAAACACGCAGAAUUUUGUUUUUGAACCUGGAACAUGUAAUUAAGCCUUGGGUGAAUUAUAAUUUUAUUUUUACUAUUUAAUUAAUUAAAUAAUUUGUAACAUUUUAAUAUAAUGAAGGGGUAAAAUGGUAACUCAACUUUAAAGGUUGGAGCUUCCCACUUUUAGUAAUAUAUGAUAAAUUGGUCAGUAGUAGUAACCUAGUUUAAUUUGAUAUAAUAACAUUCAUGACAAAAUAAAUUAAAUAUGGCUAAUUAAGAAAAUAUAAUUAAAUAUGAUUAUCUUUAAUGUUAUUUAAAUUUGUAGGCGAUUUUUUUUGUAUUUUAAAAUUAAAAAAAGGCCAAAAAACCCACAAAAAGAGAUAAAUAGGAUUGAAGCCCUUAGAGAGCGUCACCUCACCGUUUUCAUAUUCAACUUUAUUAUUAUAUAUGGAUUUAGAUUUUUGCACAACCUUAAAUUUAAGGACACAUUUAGAUAUUAUAUCAAACAUUCAUUUAUUUGAAGUUGAAAUUACAUUUUACAUGAAAAUUGGAUAUUCCAUAUUCACAUUGAGUAUGAAUCUUUUUGUUUUUUUUACAAAAUUCAAAAUAAAAAAAUACAAAACAUAAACUUAUAGAUCAAAUUUUACAUUUGACAUUUGAAAGUUUUACUUUUCAUUAAACGUUUUGUUAUAGAAUUUGGAAUCGCCCUUUGAAAUUAGUAUUUAUAAAUGAAAAUAUUGAUCUAGUCCUGUUGAAAUUGUGUCUGGCCUAGUACUUUUUCUUAUUAGAGUGAUUAUUGAAUUAGGUUUAAUAUCAAUUUUCUUAAUUAGUUUUGUCAAUUGGCAGUGCUAAGAAGAUGGGAAUUUACGUUAUAUUAAAUUAUCUUUACAUUAAUAAAAAAAGAAAUUGUUGUUAGUAUUAUUUGUAAUAUAAUUAAACAAAAAUAACAAUGGGAAGAAAAUAAUAAGUAAAGAUUACACGUUGUAUUAAAAUAAUAAGUAUUAAAAAUUAUGAUAAAUUUUAUAAUAGUCAUAACAGGAAUUUACGCAAUAAUUACUAUAUUAGAAUACUAGAAAAAUUGAUAAGUUCCUCGACAUCUAAUCAUUGAUUAAAAUUUAAAUUAUUAUUUUCUUCUGCGAAAGUUUAAGAGAUUAAAUUAAUGUUUUAAAAAAUAAUAUUAAUUAUUUUCAAUGAUUAAUAAGAAAAUGUAUAUAGCAAGUACAUGUAUUAUUAUUACAUUAUUUAUAUCCACUCUAUAUUAAAUCAUUUUUCUAUUAUAGUUUGACGCAAAUUUCAGAAUGUAAAGAAUGUUUUGGAUUCGAAAAAUAAAUAUUCAAAAUAUACUAACAUGUCAUUUAAUCUUAUGAUAUUUUACAUUUCAUGUGAAAAAAAAUUAAAUAUUAAUUUUUUAAUAUGAAAAAUAUUAAUUUAUUAAUACAACAUAAAAGUAAUAAAGGACAAUAUAUAAAAAUAUUUGAAGUAUUUGAUAUUUUAUUAAAUUAAAAUAAUUCUAAAUUAAUAUAUAGCCGCGCAACGCGCGGGUACGUAUACUAGUGAAGAACAAUAAUAAAGAAGAAGACAAUUGAGUUAAUAUUUAUUUUUUCCAAGUUUAAUUUAACACAUGACCAGUUUUUAUUGGUCAGUGCUGUCAAAAAGUUGCACCCACGCGCCUAAAAUAGGUGAAAUCACGGACUCAGCCACGUAGGCCAAAAAGUGGUAAACAAUUAACUAAAAAAUAAGUUCAGGGGGGUAAUAGGACUUUAGUAAAGGUUAGGUGUGUCUCAGGGAUUUUGGGCAUAGGCUGGGGGGGUACUUAUGCAUUUUCCCUUAUGUUAAAUAUACCAAAAUGUUUUUUAAUCUUAUGACUUUAAACAUGUCACGUGAAAAACUGAAAUUAAAGUGUUGCCAAAAAAAGAAGGGUCAUUUUUUUUAAACAGACUAAACAGAAAAGUAGAUCUUUUUAAAACGGAAGGGAAGUAAUUGUUAAUGCAAGAGGAAGCUGCUUGAAAAGUUACGUAUAUGAUGUUGAAGUUGUCUAACAUGCAAUGCUGGUCCUAUAAUCUUUCAUUAUUUAUUAUCCAUGACUAUGGGUGGAUAAUAAUAGUUAUCUGCUAUGAUCAUAUAUACCUAGGGGUGGACAUAUUACUUAGAAAACUUAUGUUAGGUAAUUUUGAUUUCUAAAAAUACUAUAUGGUGUAUGCUAUUUGCAGAUGAUAGUCCUAAUCGACCAGACUCGUAAUAGAGUUAAUGUUAAGCUAGAGAAGAUAAUAAUGGCUCCCUUCUCAAAUAUUUCAUUGGUAGAAAUUUGCCUUCCAGAAUUUCAUAAUUGCAUCUGAUCCUUUCUGAUAACUCAAAGGGCAUCUUAAAUUGGUGCGGAAGUUUAAUUUUGACAUGGAACGCAAAUAUAUGCGGAAAAUUAGUAAUUCAAUAAAUAUUUAAUUAUGAAUGCAUAUUACAAAAGUGCAAGGAAUUCAAUUGUAAGAUGUUGAAGGUUAAACCCAUAAAUUCUAAAUACUAGAGACGCCUCUUAAUGCAAAUAUAAUAUGGUUUAACUAUUUUAAACCUGGCUCAUCUCUCUUAAGUUGUCCCUGUAAUGUUUUCAUGAACUGGAGUUCCAGGUUCUGUUGUAGAGAACCCUUCAAGUGCAGGGGAUGCUCCUAAGCCGUCGGAAAUUCUGAUUUCUGGGCUUUGCAAAGGAAGGUGGGGCAAUAUUUCAGUAGAGGCUUCACUUUCUGCAAACAGCAUAGCUGUUUGGAUUUCAUUGCCUUCAGAUGGCUCUUCUGACAUAGAAUUAGAGUUGUCUCUCUCUUUAUCAAAGGCAUUUGCUAUUGCAGAAAGCUUUUGCCAUACUGAAUCAUCAGUGGCUAAGAUUUCUCUAUUCUGAUAAAGGAAGAUGAGGAAGAAUAGGAGAAGAGCGGAGCCCGCUGAUACACCAGCUAUGAGGAAAAGGCCCUUAAAACUAUCGAGCAUGAGGCUAGAUGCUAUAGCCAUUCCAUCUUGCUUUGGACAAUCUGUUUCAUUCCCAAACCAUUUCUGUAUUAUGUUAUUCAUAAACUCUCCUUCCAUCACCUGCAAGACUGCUCUUGAGACGUCAGGUACCAAAGGAGAUCCUUUUGGAAAUGCCUGCCAGAAGUUGGGGGAAAAUAAAAGAUUAAAUUAUUGAGUAGAACAUAAACCAUUCUAAACAAAUGUAAACACGUUCUGAAACAUCACUGGAGUGCAACAUUCUUACGAAUCCAAAGCCAGCAGCCUUGUAUGUCGGACCGACCAUAAUAUACUUCCUGCAAUACUUGUUGAGGAAGAGUCUGAGAUAAGGUAGUUCAUCAACAAUUGCACCAACACCUCCAUUUUUACUUCCUCUUGAGAGGGCAUUACUAUACUCUUCCAAUGUGCUAUAACUUAUGAACUUGGAACUGUCAAACUUCAUGUGCUUCAAGACAUCUUUGACAAAGGAACCUUCUUGGUACCCAACAUAUUCUCCAUUCUUGAUCAGAUCAUUGAGGUCAGUUAUAGAAGGUUGGAGCUGUUGCACUGUCAACAUAGAUGUUAAGUUGGCUGUAUAACUUGAUGUCAGCACCAGAACCACGAAAACCCACACAAUCAGCACAAAUCUUGUGAAGUUACUAGUAACCCUCUCUCCUGAAACAACCAGCCAUAUAUAUGAUUUGUUGAGAAACAAGGAUAAAUCCUAAAGCUUUUUGUAUAUAAUUUGCUUUGUGUUAGAGACUUACUAUGAGCAAAAACGAGAGUUGAGAAGGAAAACCAGAAUAUCAUCCCAACUUGCUUGUGUUUGGGUCCUCGAAACUCUUUGUUUACACGAUGUUCAAGUACCCAAACCACAAAACCAAUGAAGAUGAAGAAUCCUCCUGUUGUUAUCCAAAGCUCGCUCUUUAGAGGUUUCAAGAAAAUCCAAGCAUUCUUUCUAUCAUCAUUCUUUACCGACACAACAGCAGAAAUACCGGACUCUGAAAAAGGUAAUGUGAAAUCCACAUACUUGGCUCGGCUCGCUAAAAUGGUCACAUCACCUACAACUGCAUCAUAUUCCUGGUUCAAGCAAACAACGAUUAUUUUAGUAUAUAUGGUUGAUCUCAGUCAAAGAAGAAAGUAGAUAUGGAAGUCCCGGAAAGGAGCAUGUAAGGUAUUCAGCCAAAAAGGUUAAUUCAAAAAAGAAUUGGAUAUUACCUUUGAGGAGAUCUUGUAAACAAGAUCAUCAUAGUCUUGAGAAGUGGGGCUAACUAUUGGAAAUGGAAUAAAUUCGUAAGGGAUGGCGUAUGGCAAAGAUUGGAUAACUUCUUUGAAGACAUCUGGAAUGAAACCAGUUGCAGUUACUGCUUGUGUUUUGGCAUCUAUUUCCACUUUAAUGAAUUGCUCCAGCCCUCCUUUGACAGGAACUCCAACCCUCAACUUCUUCCCACUUGUGGGUAUUUCCCAGCCUCUCGGAACAAUAAUAGAUUCACCAGGCCAAAUGAUGGCCGCUAGUUGCUCAUUCAUACUCUUAGCUGUUUUACUAUUCAUCUUCAGUUUAUGCGAAAUGCCAUCCUUCUCGGUCCAGAAUCCAAUGCUUCUCUCUCCUUUCCCAAUUAUAUUCACAAUCUCAUAUGUGUAUAGCUGCAAUUCUCCAUCAAUGAUACGGAAUUCACCACUUAGUCCUGUUUUUGGCUUUGUAUUUCGCAUAGAGUCAAGGAGCAGAGAUCCAAAUUCUGAGGUUCCAAGUGCAUCUAAGUCCGUUAAAUUCUCUCUAGUGUCUGCUUUCUUGAAUUUUGGGAUGAUGGUAGUGCCCACUUUUGCUAUUGCUUUUGUUAAUGCGGUGAUGCUAUCAUAUGCCCAUAGCCCGUAAACAUUGAGUUCAACUGGGUCCAUGUCUGGAUACUCUUGACGGAAUCUCUUUCUCCAUCUCCUCGUGUAAUUGUUAAGCUCAUUUGAUCUUGGAAUAUAAGGUUUUAUACCAAGAACACCUUGCAUUGAUGACUCAAUUACUGAAGUAUCUACCAGGUCCAGAAGACUCGUUAGCACAUCUGUGAUGAUCCAUGCAUAUCCACUGUUCAUCAUCCCGGUUUCUUUGGCCUUGAGGAAAAGGCGGGAGGCAAGAUGUUCUUGCAAGUGCACAAUGAACACCCUGGUCUGCAUUGUCUUCAACUUGUAUAGCUCCCUGAGGAUUUGAUCAUCAUUGGCUGAAGGAGAAAUACCACUUCUAUAGGAGACUAAAGUAUUGAUUUCCAGCAAGGCAUCAGUCAAAUAUGGAAGUAUCCCGGUUCCAUAGGGGCUUUCCUCAUAGAUUACUACAACCUCCCUCCAAUUAUAGUUUUUAACAAUUGCUGCAAUGGCUUUAGUCUGACUGGAAGAAGGAAGUGCGCCUCUGAUGAAGAAGGGAUUUUCCUUGACUGAAAGUGAAGGACUAGUUGCUGGAGAUAUUAUAGGAACUUUAACUCUGUUCCCC
rnacentral:lncRNA from 1 species